GCGGUGGCGGCAGGUGCCACGUGGCGCCUGGCGCGCCUGUCGCCACCCGAGGUGGGGUCCUUUCGCGCCUUUUCACUCGCAGGUGGUCUCUUUUGACAAUCUCAUUCGACAGGGGGUCCUUUUGGACAAAAAUUCCACUUUCCUCACCAAGUAAAAGCAUUGGACGAGGAACUCCAUGGCCAACCAGACGAGAAGCACGGCGGUGCAGACGAUGCACAGCAUGAUCAGAACGGCGGUGAAGCCUUCGUGGUCCAUUUGUUACGCGCGGCUUUCCUCGAGCGUGGUUUGCCGGAGGUCCGCCGGCCGGCCAGUUAUAAAGGCACGCUGGCUCUUGCUACUAGCCAGUACGUAGCAGCGAGCAGCCCCCAUGUGACGGAUGGGGCGCCGGCGCGCUGUGCACUCCCCGUUUCGUGCAUGGAUGGAGUCGGUACCGGGAUCGAAGUCGAAGGUGACGCUGGUUUGGAGUGGUGAUUCAUUGGGUUGGGUGUGGCCGGACCACGGUGUUUCACGUACUAGGAAAGCCGCGUGUACAAUAGAGCUGAGUUAGCUGGCUAUAAGAAAUAAAGUAGUAUAUUUUUGCUUAGUUGGAGGAGAGAGAAGGUAAGCGGACUCUUAGUUAAAAGUCAGCUCUAGCACGUGCUCUUACACACUUUGUGAGAAUGAAAGGUGGGUCAUAUAAUAAAUAAGUAAUACACUUUUCUAACCAACUAUUGUACAUGUUAGCUAUAAGAUGUGCUAUAGGUGACAUGGCAUGAGCUUAUAGCCGGGAGCCGGCUCUACUAUUGUACUUGUUUUAAGAGGCUAGCUGUGUAAACUUGUAGUUUAGCAUAGUGCAUGACUAGAGCAUGCAUAUGCAUGUGCCGAUCGAUAUGCGUGCGUGUCCAAACCAUGGCAGCCAAAAAAAUAAACACUCUGCCUAGCUAGAUGGUUCUGUUGAGUGAAAUGUUUAUUUUCUCUUCAAGUGUUUUACACAAAAGUUGGAUGAAAGGUCAUGAAGAAGGGAGGAGAAAUAUAAGGGGAAAGAGGUGCGGCGGUGAUGAUUUGCGCCUCAGGGGGAAAUGUGCUUUCUGAUUGGUGAAGACACGUGACAGAGCAUAUAGCAUACGGGGAAUGUACAACUAUCACAUUUCAGGUUAGGAUUUCGAAAAACUAUAAUAUUUUCCAAAAAUUUCAAAAAUAUACCACAAAAUUGGUUUGCUGUUUGAGAAAACUACACCUUUCGUCAAGUGACCAAUUAUGCCUGAAUUUAUCGUAAUUAUAUAGUCCCUCCGUUCCUAAAUAUAAGUCUUUUUAAAGAUUUUACUAGAAGACUACGUACGAAAUAAAAUAAGUGAAUCUAUCCUAAAAUAUGUCUAUAUACAUCCGUAUGUAGUCUCUUAAUAAAACAUUUAAAAAGAUUUAUAUUCAGGAACGGAGGGAGUAUGUGACAUGGAUGGCCAAACGAGUCAAGGUAGACAUGGUAUAAGGGUAACCGGCCGGUAAUUAAAAUGACACCAGUUUCAUGCAUGGAUGGAAGAUGACACCAGUUUGGACUCGACGUUCGUUCGUUGGGGAGUGGCGCCGGAGCACGCUUUCACGUACGAGGAAAGCCGUGUACGAUAUGCCGUGUGAGGUCGGUCGUAGUUUGCACAAGUACCUAUCAAGUGCAUGUGCAGCAGCAAGUCAUAAGUCAUACUCCGUAUAAAUGAAGACGGGAACAGAGGACGUGAGAUGGCAGGGUGAGAUCGAACGCACGCGGUAGCUAACGACGGCGAACUAGAGCAUGCAUGCAUGUGCCGACGAUCAGCGUACGUGUCCAAACAGUGGCAGCCAAGAAAAACACUCUGGUUCUUUAUGUUGGGUGAAAAAUUUCUUCUGCAUACAUGUUUUCAAAAAGUUUAUCACAAAAUCUGGAUGGUAUAUUUUGUUACAUCGGUGACGAUAAAUUGCUAGUGAGUUUUUGUAACCAAAAUGUAAGUGUUAAAAAAUGGACUUUAGCUAUUGAUUAAGUCCACACUCAUUGGCUUACCAAAAAAACAUGAUUUUAUUUGGUAACCUUAUAUGGCAUGCGAUAUUUUGGCGCCAUCUCGGCCGAUAUAUACUUUCAUAAAUUCCACAAGGCGCAUACACUUGGAAAAUCUGCACAUUAAAAAUAUGAUUUCAAAUAUUUUCACCUUCAUACAUUGACGACGUGUACAUUUGUUUCUUGAUGAAAUAUAAAAGCAAUUGCCUUGCUAUCCAGGACAAAGAGCGACUACCUGGGUGAAGGGAAGCCGGCGACCCAUUGGUGUUCAGCGUAGGUUUAGAAUAUGCAAUUUUCAAAAUGACCUAACAUUAUUGAUGUGUCGUGAAAUGCAAAGUACUCCCUCCAUUCCACAGUAUAAGAGCGUUUUUGACACUAAAAUUGUGUUAAGAACUCUUUUAUAUUGUGGGACGGAGGGAGUAGUAAAUAUUACGAAUCACUCACAUGAUAGUAUAAGAUUUAAAAGGAGACCACCUGCCUUACAAAUGUCCAAGGAUACACACAACUCCGACAUUCUAAUGCGGUACAAAUCAUAGAUUGAUUGUGUGACCUUUUGGAAUACUUCACCAUCAAGAUAUUUAAAUAGUCGCCGUUACGGUCCUAUGGUGUGUCUAAAUUUAAAAUUUAAAAUUUAAAAUAUGUGCACCUUUAUAGCACUUGAUUCUUGUGCUUUUUUAUCAAGUUUUAUUUGAAUUGUUCCUUUAGUUGAGCCAUAUUGUGUGUUUGGAUUUGAAUAUAUAAGUCUGAAAAUAUUGAAUUUAAAAUGUUAUUGAAAUUUAUGUACUGGAAUUAUCAAGUUUCGAAUCAGUAUGUUGUGGGAAUAUCAAGUUGGAACGGAUUAUGUGAGCAAAAUGGUUGAAGAAUUAUCAUAGAUUCCCUCUAGAGAGUUCGGUUUUAGGAAAAGAACUAGGUGUGCGCUUCUUUUUAUCCUUGGAUUUAAGGAGUUAUGGUUUAGGAGUUCUUGGAUGUGAUUUUUAUCACUGAUUGGGCCGGUCAACCACGCUUAUUGACUACUAACAAAAACCUGACAGAAUGGCCUAUUAGCUCAGCUGGUUAGAGCGACGUGCUAAUAACGCCACUAUUUUAAAUUUUGUUUUGCUUUUUUUCAUCAGUAAAUAAAUUACACAUUAAACAUGCACAGAAAUAUCGCACAAGAAUGAGAAGUAUAUAUAUAACAAAAAAUAUAUCAUUAAAAAACUUUAGAUGUUCUAUUUUUUUAAUAAUAUAACUUUUAUGUUAAAUAAUAUAUUUUAUAUAAAUCAAAUUGACGAUUCAGAUAUAAGUGUAUGCCUUCUAAACUGUGACGGAGGGAGUAUCAUAUUUGUUCAAUAUCUUUACUAGCUGAAUGUCCGUGCGUUGUCACAAAACAGUAAAUUAUUUUUUUUGUUUUGCUUUUUUCAUCAGUAAAUAAAUUACACAUUAAACAUGCACAGAAAUAGCGCACAAAGAAUGAGAAGUAUAUAUAUAAACAAAAAAUAUAUCAUUAAAAAACUUUAGAUGUUCUWWUUUUUUAAUGAUAUAACUUUUAUGUUAAAUAAUAUAUUUUAUAUAAAUCAAAUUGACGAUCUAGGUAUAAGUGUAUGACUUCUAAACUGUGAGGGAGGGAGUAUCAUAUUUGUUCAAUAUCUUUACUAGCUGAAUGUCCGUGCGUUGUCACAAAACAGUAAAUUAAAUUUUUUGUUUUGCUUUUUUUCAUCAGUAAAUAAAUUACACAUUAAACAUGCACAUAAAUAGCGCACAAAAAUGAGAAGUAUAUAUAUAACAAAAAAUAUAUCAUUAAAAACUUUAGAUGUUCUAUUUUUUAAUGAAUUAACUUUUAUGUUAAAUAAUAUAUUAUAUAUAAAUCAAAUUGACGAUCUAGGUAUACGUGCAUGCCUUCUAAACUGUGACGGAGGGAGUAUCAUAUUUGUUCAAUAUCUUUAUUAGCUGAAUGUCCGUGCGUUGUCGCAAAACAGUAAAUUAAUUAUCGUUCUCAUUGUUGUUCGCCUUCGAAUAGGAUCCAACCUUGCAUGUAUUCUCGUCACCAUCAUCGAAUAGUAUCAACCCCUUGCCCCCUAUUGUUGUCGACCAAUGAAAGGGUCGUCAUCCCGUCGCCCUAGCAACCCCUCCACUAAAAGCGCUCUCAUGAAAUAUUUCUUUUAGCUUCUUAUCCUAUAUAAUAUAUUAAUAAAAUAAAAUACACUCAUACUUGAAUUGUAGAUGAACAUAUAUUAUCAUAAUGAUUCAACACAAAUAUAUCCUCAUGCUUUUGAUUAGAUCUCGUACUCGAGGGAUAUUGCCAUAUUGGCCAACAAAAAAAUAAUGUAUAUUAUCACGAAAUAAUAUUUAGGCAUAGAGAUAGUUAGAUACCUAUGUGCCAGGAAGCAUCAAAACAUAUAACAGAGCAUCUUCCGUGCUUUCCCGUCUUCAUUCAUGCAUCGUGUUUCCUUCUUCCUUCCUUCAUAUUUUCUCCAGCCAUGCUCAUGCUCUUUUUUAAGUUACGUCUCGGAUCCAAUGGUAUGAAACAAUGGAUAAAACAAGACAUUAAGCACAUCAUCUAAAUUAAAGCAAAGCAAAGGUGCAUGCAGCAACGACGCCCUUUGGGUGCAUGUAUAAAAAAAAGGCACAUGCUGCAAGCAACAUAUACAAUCGUCAAUGGAGGUGAAAUUGAGCCGUCUUGUUAUUCAAGAAGACAUGGCCAACCUUUGAAAUCUAUGUCUCCGUCGUUUCAUGACCAGCCAUUCCUACGGAGUUACAAUGUCUUGAAAUAUCACUUUGUGGUUCAUAUAGUUCUCUCAAGUCAUUGAUGUGAACCAACAUUGUCCUUGAAAAUGUCUAAAUCAAGAAGGCGUGCAUACAAUGCAACAAUGUAAUAGAAUGCAUAAUUCUCAAUAAAGUCGAUAUAGGAAACAUUUUAAAUAAAAAGCAAACACUAUGAACAUCUCAAAUAAUCUAUGAUGUACUCGUACACAAGAGGAUGGUUUGCAGUAAAGCAAAUUACAAUGGAUUUCUUGCUUGUUCUAGAUUAAAAAAAGAGAGUACAUUAUAUUGUUUUGAUAAGGAGGAGUCCUAGAAAUCCUCAUGUUUCCCAAAUACAUUAUUUUUCACCACCAUGUUUCCUUGUUUCCCUCAUGAAGCCAUGUAUACAAAACAAUACCAUAGUUGAUCUCUGCACCUACAAGACACCUAGUGAUUGUUGCUACCUUGACAACGACUUGUGCUCACAAAUUCACCUUCGUAAUUACUACGCGUGCACAUUUCAUAGUUAACGGAACAUUAUUCAUUAUAUAUACGGGUGCUAUAAUAAAGUUUUAAGAACUCGUGGCAAAAAGAAAGUACUCACAUAAUUUAAAUAAAUGAUCCUCCAUUUUACUGAAAAGAAAAAGCUCAAUAACCAUGUGCAAACAAGGCACGGGCAUGCACUUUAUUUUAAAUCUCGAUUACCCGUCUCAAACAAAAACUAAAAAGUAUUGCAGGGAAUGUUGAUAUCUACUUUAUUUCAUGUACUCGCUUUAUCAUAGGUAUGUAGAAAGCAUAUUGUGCCCAAUUCAUGGUACAUGUCUCCGAGUCUUUUUCUACAAUGUUAUAGUACUAAUCCUUGUCUUUUUAGUUUUACAAUAGUGAGAUCCUCCUGAACCUUUAGGAGUUCAAACCUGUGUAAUAAGCAUGACAGUUAUAGGAGAAAACAUGACAUGGACAGAAGAAAUAAGAAGAGUACAUUGUCUUUUCUAUCUGAGUAUUCAAGUACGAGUAGACAUUAUAUUUCUCACUCCUCCAAAUAAUCUUUAAACCUGGAAAUGAAUAUAACCAGUUAAUUACAUGUAUGAACUACGAACAAAAAUUUAAAAUUACAACAACAAUACACACCACACACAACAAGCAAUCAGCACACGCUACAACCUUCUCAAUCUUGAUUUACCGGCUGAACCCAUGUCUAUGUUGUCCAAUCCUAUAUCCAUUAACAAAGGCCUUCUCUAUCUGAAAAAACCAAAGGCCAACAAAAAAAUUGAUUUUUUGUUGCCCACAAAAAAUGGAUGAAUAUUCUUUUUACAGUAGGCACCUUAUAUACACGAAAUGAACCAAUAUGUACAAUCCAUUGGUGCCUGCCAACCAAGCUAUUGCACAACACCGAGUCACCGAUGACACUGCAGCUUCUCGUCUCCAAUGAUCCACCUUGACAGCUGACUUUGAUCAUCGGCAAGGGCCCUACACGACAAGAUGAUGCUAAUUAAGGUCUCUUGUGCUCUAAAGCAUCCAUGCCUGGACCCUUCAAUACUAAGGACAUAAACAGGUGAGCCUGCAUAUUUUAAACAGGGGCAAGUUCAGCCGGAUGCUUAUACCUGAAGAAAAUCUGAAUAAUGUUUAUAAGCACCAUAUUGUUUCCAUAUUGAUCACAUAGAAGUGGUCCACUGUACCAGUCGUUAUCUGCAUCUGAACGCCAUCCGACUAUGGCGUGACACAAUCAGGUUCUUUUUGUUGUCCGGCCCGCACCGCUGAGGCUUUGUUUGGAACGUCGUUCCUGCUUUAAAUACCUUUGUAAAAAAAUACAUCCGCUCGUAUUGUUUCCGCCUGCAAAUCGUUCUUGACCAGUAAGUUACACCCGUAAGAAAAAUAUACAUCUGUAUCUGUUUACAUCCACUCCAAACGCAGCCUGAAGUGUUGUGCGUAUGUCCCGACCUUCAGGUACCUUCUGGGAACUGGAGGCUCGUCUUGACAUCUGGGGCAGAGAAUUCGGGUUGGAGGCCUUCAGAUUUCCUCUACCGUCGCUGACGGAGGCUAUAUUCAGAUUGCGAAGAAGGGCGGGUACGGUGGUCGCUGCCUCGCCAGAGUUAGCGUUCCGACGGCCGGACGCGUCUCCGUCGUCUUCCUCUCGUUGAGAUGAAGACACGGAUAAGAGGAGGCCAUUUGCCUGACACCCUCUUUCGCAUGCUAAGGACAACGCCGGACCACACAUGCAGAGGGGACAACACGGGCGCACUGGCUUGUUGUUAGCGACACACCGAUGAAGGUCGCGUACCAACAGCAGCAUAAGCCACAAGCAAAGGGGCGCCACCGCCGUCGGUGAUGAGACGGUGGUGGUUUCCGGUGUCCGCGACACCAUAGAAUGAUGUUGCGGGGCUGCGGCGACAUGCAUGAGAAUGCAAGAUCCGAAUAUGCAAGUAACGCAAAAAUUCAUAUACAUUCGUAUACACUCGUCUUCACGAACGCACCCAUGCAUACUUUACCCUAUAAUAGCACCUUGAAAAGAUUGAACAGAUUUAUGAAGUUAGAGCAAAUCCAACGGGGCGACCCAAACGGACGUGUGCUUUGUCUGUUUUUUGUCCGUUUGGGUCGGCCGCUCGCUCCGCAUCCGUCUUGUCUUCUUUUGGGGUUGGUCGCCCGCUCCGCGUUCGCCCUGUCUUCUUUUUGGGUCGGUUGUGCACCCAAUGGGGGUGAACCAUUUAAUGUACGUACAUUUAGAUUAAAAAGGCCCUCGGCCAUAGAUCAUGCCAAUGUUCAAGAGUUCAUGCCGACACCAUGCCAGCGGCCGACAUACAACACCCAAGUGUCUUCCUUCUACGCAGCGGUGGCGAUGGCGACAACAGCAGCUGCCUCGCCCCUUGCAUCCUGCGCGUGCCUUCGACCCUUCCUCUUGACCGACUCCACGACCCGCUCCUUGGGCGUCAACUCCUCCUCCUUCUUCUUGGACGGUGCGGCGGUCUUGCGGUGGGAUGGUGCUUGCCUCUGCCAGCGGGGGCGGCGUCGGACGAGGCGAGGAAGGCGAGGCCGGCGGCAGCCUCGAGGUCGUCGUUCAUGGCGGUGGGAGCGGCCGUGGGAGCGAGCGGGAGGGUUUGGGAAAAGUGGAGGGAAAAGUGGCCGCUUUGCCGACAACUGGCGGGCCAGGGAGGGGAGUAGGCGCGCGUCGCCCGCGUCUGCGCCGACGUAAAUGAGGCUCAAAAUUGGGUCGGGAAUGGGUCGACAGGUGGACAAAAAGCGAUCGACGCGUUGGGCCAACUUUUUAUCCGCGCGUACCCAAACGAACGGUGGCAGAUGAAAUAGACCACUCCGUUGAAGUUGCUCUUAGAGCAACCCCAACGCAGCGACCCAUUUUGUCCGUUUGGGUCAUCCGGAAACAAAAACUGGCCCAACGGGAUGACCCAAACGGACGCGUGUGACCGCCUGUUGUUCGCUUGUUGUCCAUCCCGACCCAAACUGGACAUAAAACUGUGUCACAAAUGGGUCCGCCGCGGACAAAACUGGGCGCUCCCAUCGUCCUCUCCUCCCCUCUCGUGUCUGCCGUGGUCCCACCUAUCAGCGGUCCGCCCCUCCCCAAGGCCGUUGUCGGUGGUGCAGGGGCGCGACGGUUGCACCGCAGAGCAGUGCGAGAUCGAGAGGGGGAGAGGAAGCAGAUGAUUUCUGCGCGCGCAUCUCGUACCUUGAGGCCCAUGUCGACGGACGAACGAACGGAUCGAGCGCCGGUUGCGGUUCGUCGGCUACUCCGCUGACGAUGUGUUCAAGGUGAGGCGAAGGGGGCUAGGCUGGGCUGCCUCUGGUGCGUACGCCGUCAUUUAUAAUGGAGGGCCGGGGACGGGGGGCGGAGGGAGGUUUGUUCCUCCAGGGGACUCGUGCUUGCGCCAGAUGCGUGUCAGGGUCGAUCUCGGUCGUCCGGUCCGGCAGCGCGAGGGAGGCAUGCGCCCGGCCACUCCCGCCGCCCCGGCCGUCCCCGCGAGGUGCGGCCCGUCCGUGAGUGCGCGCAGGUCGGCAACGAUGUUGGUGUUAGCCCCUGGAGAGAGCGAGAGGAACAACACGGCGGGGUCGUCCGCUUUUUUGCAUCUCGUGCAUUGGGUUCGUCCAUCGGCCACGCGUGUGUGCCUCAUGUCCGCUAGGCGGGCGGGUGACCCAAAUGAACAAAAUCGCUGUCCGUUUGGGGCGGCCCGUUGGAGUUGCACUUAGAGCAACUCCAUUGGGGCGACCCAUUUCGUCCGCUGCCGUCCGUUUGGGUUGGCGCGAACAAAAAUGAUGGCCCAACGCGCCGAUCCAUUGCCAAAACGCGUCCGCUUCGCGUCCGCGCCGACCCAUUUCCGACCCAAAUUUGGGACUGAAAUGCGGUGUCCGCCCCCAACCACCGCGGUCAACAUAAUUUAUGACGGCCGCCAUCCUCGGGCCCAUGCGUCAGCGACCGUGGUCGGUCUUUUUUAAUCCGAGCGUGCGGUGGGUUUCGGCCAUCUGCUUCCAGAACCCUCCCCGUCCCCAUCUCGCCACCCCUCUGUUUCCUCGUCGACGACCCAGCAACCAUGGACAACGACGGCAACCUCCUCGUUUAUGCCCACGCGAUGCUGCCAGAGGAGGUCGCCUACCUGCAGGCAAAGAGGGCGAUGCACCAGGCGCACGAGCGUGCCCGUGCUACGCCCGGCUUCUUCUAGAACACCCUCGUCGUGCACCCCCCGCGCACUUCUUCCAGAGGAGGCCGCCUACCUUCAAGCUAAGAUGACGCUCCGACUGGCGAACGAGCGCGCCCGUGCUGCGCCACCGCCAACACCACCACUACCCGUGUCGGCACGGCACGCCCUCGCUCCGACACAGCCCGACCUCGCCGCCGCCGCCGAGGACGCCUAGGGUGUUUUUCUUUUUUCAUUAAUAAUGUAACGCAUGGACUCUCGUCGGCCUUCGUGGCCGGCUUUUUUAAUGUUUAAAUUAUGCAUGUUUGGUGCACGCCGGUAAAAAUGGAUUGAACCAGCGUUGGGCUCAUGUGCCGACCCAAACGUCGAAGCAGACGUUCGUGUCCGCCUGGUCGACCCAAAUAGACUAAAAACGGAUAAAAUCGCCGUCUGUUUGGGUCGACCCGUUGGAGCUGUCCUUACUGUAUGGUAAACGUUUUCCGCCCGUGCGCCGGUCGAACAUUCGGCCGGACGCACACGCGUCGUCGAUCUCGCGAUCUCCUUCCCAUCCCGAACGGCUCGCGCGCAUUGCGACGACAUGGUCGAAGGGACCCAUCAUCCGCACGCGCCCCUGCGCCGCCUCCGCCGCUGCGCCGGUCCCUGCCCCCGUCGGCCCGUCCGAAUCGCCAGUUCCCGCCACCGCCGACCGUCCGCAUCGCCGGAUCCAGCCUUCGCCGUCGUCCUCGUCGUCUGUCCGUCAUGGAUGGGGCGCACGUAUACAAAUGUUACAAACGUCACCAAAAAAUGCUGCAACGACUAUUUAAAAAAGCUUCAACUGUUGAUUAAAAAAGCUGCAAUCAUACAUAUAAAAAGCUGCAAGGCAAAUCAUACUUUUUCCUCGUUGAAGUAUUUGAUUGAAGCUUUUUUUCUUAACAUUGAAACUUUUUGAGGAGUGACCACGCGAGAUGCUGCAGUCGGAGCGGCGUUUGAAAGUUUUUUCAUAUACGGUUAAAGCUUUUUCUGUCAACGUUUCCAACUUUCCCUCGUUGAAGUUUUUGGUUGAAGCUGUUUUUCUUAACAGUUGAAGCUUUUUCUACACACGGUUGAAACUUUUUUUCCAGCGUUUGCAACACACGGGGGUGAGAUGCGACCGACGAGGUGAAGACCGACGGGUAUGAGAGGUGAAGACCGACGGGUAUGAGCAGCGGCGAGUGCGCCGGCGCUGCGAGUGUGUCGGCAAGCGGCGGGGGCAGCGAACGGUCGGGGCGAGCUGAGUCCCGAAGCGCGGGGCAGUCGGGGCGGCGAGCGGUCGGUGAGGAGGCGAGACGAGGCGGUCGGCGCGUGCUGGGGCGUCGGCGCGUGCUGUAGCGACGACGCGUGCGAGGGUGACGGACGGUGGGGGCUCGCGUGACUAGAUCUGACGGUCAGGGAGCCCCUGAUCUGACGGCUGCUGUGCGACCGGCGCGAGCCCUCGGGCCGCACUGCCCUACUUUAUGCGCCUGGUCGUGGACGGAACGUCGUUUAACCGACUCAGAAUGAAUGAUCCAUCCAGUCUAAGAUAAAAAGAGAGAGAGAAACACAUCCGCCAACGUCAGCCAUCAGUCCCCGAUCGUACGGCCCGCGACCAGCCACGCGUGCGCUCCCUCCCAACCGGGCGCUAUAUUACGCGCACCCUCCAUCCACCCCGACCCCUCUCUGCCUCCUCCGCUCCGCCGCGCCGCCUCAGCCAGGUCAGGUGCGCCUCCCCAGCCCGCGCCAGGGAAGCCGCCGGAUCGAUCGAGACGACCGCCGCCGUUCUCCCGCUCCCGAGGUCCGUGCCCGCCCGAACACCCGAUUAUUUGCUGUCCCCAUCUCUCUCUCUCUCCCUCCCCCCGCGGCCGAUCUAGGUUUCGGUGUGAGCGAUUUGCCGGUUUGUGCCUGGUAGAUGCCGGAUGCAGUAGCUGCUACAUGUUUCUCCAAAGCAAAAAUAGAUCCUGCCCUCAAAUUGGUUGUGAUUUCGGGAGAUUAGGUUGGGAAUAACUUCUAGGUGGGUUAUGCAAUUUCUGUGCUGGAAGAUUUGUUGCUAUUAACUGACAUAGUUGUCCCCAGAAUCCUAGAGCAAAUAAAUCGAUCCUCAAAAUCUGCUGUAAAUAACAUCCUAGUUGAAUCUAGGCAUCUAGUGUCCUGCAAAUUCUAUGUUAUACUAACUAAUAUGGGCACAUCAAAACUGAAUUUCUAUUCGAUCUGUGGAGCAGAUGAAUCGCUCCCCAAAUUUUGCUGCUGGGUCGGGAGUAUGACUUAGGAAUUUGUCGAGAUUAACUAUAUGGGAAUUGAAUGUAGGGCUCUGCAAGUUCUGUUUUGAAAUGCUGUUAUGUUAAGGGGAACUGAAUUUAUGUUCAGCAGUAGAUGCUGAACAUUUGUCAGGGUUAACUAACAGGGUGUUAGUUAUAUUCUUAGCCACCAUCUAUGCUGCAACAGCUGCCUACUGCUGCUGUUGAAUGCUCUUUGUUGAAUCCUUUUGUGCGGCGUGCUUGUUUGAUGGGAUACCUGGGUGGUUCUUAGGUCAGGUGUAUACCAAUUGCCUUGUUUAGUGGAGCUUGGGGUUUAUGAUUUAGACACGUUUUACUGGUAUGCAAGAGGUUUGUGAAAAUGUACUCUAAAUUAUGUGUGCAUCUAUGCCCUUCUGGUUGCUACUUCUUUUUUGUUUGUUUCGGGUUCUCUUCAAUCAAAGAUUAAUAUUCUAAAACGGUGUGCAGAUUAGGUUUUAAAACGGAUCGAAUAGUAAUCUUUGUCUGGCGGAUAUAACAAGAUCUGCAACCCAGAAGGAGUGCCCUCGUGCAACAGGCAAAAAGUCAUUUCUUUUGUGCUAUGUUGUUUGGUCUCUUUUUGCAGUUGCAGGGGGAGAAACACUGACAUUCUAGUGGGAGCAACACUUUCAUCUCUUUAUUUCUGGUUAACCGUUUUCAACGGUGUGCAGAUGUAGGUUAAAAAAUUGACCAGUUUACUAGGAGCAAGAUCUAGUCCUGAUGAUGCCUGAAGUAGAUCAUGAUUCUUCUGAUCUUCUUUCCAUUGAGCUUGUUUUCAUAAUAUUAACGAUUUUGAAUAAGUGUGCAGAUUAGGUUAAAAAUGGACUGGGAAUAGGUUGAGCUUUAUAAUGUUCCAACCAAACAGUGAGCGUUACAGGGGUAAAUUCACAGGAAUUGUACAUGUUGGUGAUACUAAAAAAGAUACAUAGGUCUUGUGAGCCUGGUUGGUUUAAUCCUAUAUGUUCCCUUCGAUAUUUUGUCUUCUGUAAUGCACUAUGACGACCUUAAUCGAGGUAUUCCAGUAUUCCUUGCUUCCUGUUCCUGCCAGAGCACCCAAUAAUGUAUUUGUAAGCACAUACAUUCUUUUGAUCUGGAUUAGAAUUUCUGACUCCAUUCUUAUCUUUGUUUUAGCAGCUUCAGCAUAAUCUGAAGUGCUCCCAGAACAAUGGCGGAACACUUGGCUUCAAUUUUUGGCACGGAGAAGGAUAGGGUCAACUGCCCCUUUUACUUCAAGAUUGGAGCUUGCCGUCAUGGGGAUCGUUGCUCCCGUCUGCACAACAGGCCAACCACAUCGCCAACUAUUGUGCUUGCUAACAUGUACCAGCGGCCUGAUAUGAUCACCCCUGGAGUUGAUGCCCAAGGUGUGGCUAUUGCUCCAGAGAAGAUGCAGGAGCACUUUGAGGACUUCUAUGAGGAUAUCUACGAGGAGCUGAGCAAGUUCGGCGAGGUUGAGACCCUGAAUGUGUGUGACAACCUUGCUGACCACAUGAUCGGGAAUGUCUAUGUCCAGUUCAGGGAGGAAGAGCAGGCAGUCGCUGCUCACAAUGCCCUUCAAGGCCGCUUCUACUCUGGCCGCCCGAUCAUAGUGGAGUACUCCCCUGUGACAGACUUCCGUGAGGCAACCUGCAGGCAGUUUGAGGAGAACAGCUGCAACCGUGGUGGCUACUGCAACUUCAUGCACGUGAAGCAGAUUGGCAGGGAGCUUAGGAGGAAGCUAUAUGGGGGUCGGUCCAGGAGGAGCCAUGGGAGGAGUCGCAGCCCUAGCCCGCAGCACAGGAGGGACAACCGUGACCGUGGUGGUGACUUCCGUCGUGAUGGCCGGGAUGAAUACCGUGGUGGUGGCGGUGGCGGUGGCGGUGGUGGUUACCGUGGAGGUGAUGGUGGCGGCUACCGUGGUGGGGGCGGUGGUGGUGGUUACCGUGGAGGUGAUGGGGGCGGCUACCGUGGUGGCGGCGGCGGCGGUUACCGUGGUGGGGGGAGGGGUGGAGGUGGUGGUGGCAGGCAUGACAGGUAUGAUGAUGGACCAAGGCGCAGGUAUGGUGGCAGCCCGCCACGGCGUGGAAGGAGCCCCCCGGCAAGGGAGAACAGCGAGGAGCGCAGGGCCAAGAUUGAGCAGUGGAACCGUGAGCGAGAGGAGAAGUGAUGAACCUCGGGUAGUUGAACCCACAAGCGUUAUUUACCAUUUCAUUAUGUGUCGUUAGUUUGCUCCUGUGUUUUGAGUCUGUUGGUUUGCUGUCGGACAUAAGUGUGUGGGGUUGCUAUAGCACUAUUGCUUGGUUGAGUGACCUGUCAAGUGCAGGAUUCUAGUAGAGGCGUGUAAGCUGCUAUUUGCGCUCAAUAUUUAUUGUCGGAUAUGUUCUCGUGUUAUCUGCAGAAGUUUACGGCGUUUUGCUUUUGUUGGUUGGAUCUUAUAUGGUUUCGUUUCUUUUCAUCAUCUAAAAGAGAACAUCUCGAAUAUUGCAUCGUUGUGGUGUUGACAAUAGUGAGCCGACCACAUGCAUCAGUACAUAUCAUUGUUUUGUCAGAAUAACGGGAGGAAAAAGUUGUCACUUGGUUUGGUUGCAAUUUCUGUUCGUUUGCUGCUAUGAUAUGUUCUUUUACAGCUUUGGCACCCAUCAUUUGGGUUGGAAUUUUCGCGGAAUUCAUUUGUGAUCCAGCUAAUUAAACUUUGAUGUAAAACAAAUCCCGUCCAUCAAGCUGUCAUUCUCCAGACAUCCUCAGGCUUCAUCUCGUCCCUGACGCCCGCGUCUCCUUGAAUCACCAUUUGUAGACAGAGGGAGAAAGUAGAUAUCGAAAAGCAUUUACAUUUGUAGACAGAGGGAGAAAGUAGAAUAUCCCCUUAUCUGUUUUACUGUAAUUUCUCACAGCAAUAACUCAAUUUGCCGACUCAGCAAUUUGGUUUUCCGAAAAAAUAAUAAUAUUUGUGUGACCAUCCAUUGCCGCUUUGAGCAAAAUACCGCUAAGCACAUAAAAAAUACACUAUCCAAACAGUGUAAAGGUAAGGCUGCAUUUCAUUUAUUUUUUACGUGCAAGGCAGGAGCAUUGUCGAUUUUCAUUGAGAAAAAAUAAAAAACAAAGUGGCUCUAUUUAUAAAAAAACUAGACCGAAAACCUUACAACACACGAUUGAAAAGAGGACAUCGACGACUCAAACUCCAUCGCCAACAUGCUCACAACCUGAAAAAGUGUGAGGACUCUUCGAUGACGCUUUCAAAAAGCAUCGUCGCCGAUAUCCUUCGACCCCCAUCGAACCAAGGCUUUCACCCAAAGUCAUCCACAACAACCCCGCCGGACCUCGGAAAAGUCAAACCACACCAAACAGCCUCCACGGCAACCCUAGAACCAACAAACCACGGUCACCGAAGAGGAGGAACUCUUCGACGACAACUUCAAGAAGCAACGUCACUGGUAUCCUUCGAUCCCUAUCGAACCAAGGCUUUCGCCCAGAGCCCUAAGCCUCUCCACCUCAAUGGUUUUGUCUAUUUUUAGAUUUCUUUAUACCCGUUUUUGCACAUUUCUUUGGCUAACUUCUUCACAGGAAAACAUUAAGCACAAGUGAGCAGAGUGAUGAGUUAGUGAAUUGUUGUAGUAACUAAAGAUUCAGACACGCCAAACUAUUUGUAUAACAAGAUAGGACGGCCAAACCAGAUACGUGACUACAACUUGAAACAAAAAGGUGGGUACACGCUUACCAGCAGCUGGUGAGAUGAGAAGCAUCACAACAAAGUUAUUGCAGAGGAAAGGAUAUGAUAGUUGGUUUUACCCGUACUAAUCUCUUGCGUGUUUCGCCAUCAUCCACACGAUGGUUGUCAGGUCGCCGCCACAGCCGAGUUGCUUGGCAUGGGACUCCCUGCUGCGCCGGAUAGACGCCUGGACGAGCAGACCCACCCAAGAAUCAAAGAUGAACUUCAAAAUGUCCCCUAUAUCCCUUACAGGAGGGUACGCCAAACGUGGGAUCCAGUGUGCAAACGCUGUCAUGAUCCAGGUAGGCAUGACAUUUUCAGUAGUUUCGCGGAGUAGGCUUAGCAGCACCUGGGCGAGGCGAGCUCCUACCCGGAUGGUAGUAUUCACAAUACUAUGUGGCUGAAUCCUAUACAGCAUCCACUCGGCAAACUCUUUAGUUGAACUAGUAUACUCAUUACUGGUCUCCAACUCCAUGGCGCUCCUCAGCUCCUCCAGAGCACGGCGGGUAAUCUCGUACAGGCUGCGAUCAAGGCCCGGUACCAUGUGGGGGCGUGCGGUGGCGAGGAACAUCAUGUAAUCGGACACCACCUUGAUCGCCUUCACAUGUUCUUGGGGCGCUGCUUCUGUGAUACCGGUGAUGCUCAUGAGGAAAAUGUCCGUUGCGAUGUGCCUGAUGAGGAUGACCUCUUGAAAUUCAGGAAGAAACCUCAUAUCUCCGUCUGACUCCUUAGGCUCGUACUCGUAGGGUACCAUCGUGGCCUUCACAGCUUGCUUAUUUUCUCUCCCAUUAGCGCCGGCCCGGGACUUUGCGGGAACACCAAAGAAUCGUCCGCAUAUAUUUUUGAACACCAGCUUCUUGACAUUCUCUGGAAUCUCAAGGUGCCUUGAGUGGUCUUUCGAUUCAAUCUUCUUCGCCAGUCCAUGAGUGCACUGGUACAACAGGUUAUGCUGUCCAACAUGUCGAACAGGCAGUGAUCAACCAACAUGGCCUUCUCAUCAUCUAGUUCCAGGUUCUUGGCUUCACCAACUUCACUGUCUCUUCCAGCCAUCCUUCAGCAGCCAUUGCUCGCUCCUGCUUCAAUCUGCAUGCACUGUAGUCAAGAUUAGUCACACUGCACCUGAAUUCUAGAGAGAGGUUGGUAACUAAGGACGAGAUCCAGCGUAAAAUGCAGACCGGUGGUAUGCAGUACCUGGUUAGGGCGAUCAAACGAUGCUUCCAGUUGAGACCUGAGUCGACAUAAAAGGAAACCAUUGCAGAGUGUUGCUCUUCUCAAGUGUCAACUAGAGAUAAACAACUUUACCUGCACAAGGUUUGUAAGAUUUAGUAUUUGUUGUUUAUGCAUCCAGAUUCUGUAAAGUCCUAAGGAAAUGUCACAAAAGUUGCCCGAGAGUGGCAACAGCUUGCUGUCAAUCUGAAUUAAGAAUGCCAGUUAGUUGAUUAUGCAUCCAGAUUCUUUAAAGUCCUAAGGAAGUGGUACAAAAGUUGCUCGAGAGUGGCAAGAGCUUGCUGUCAAUCUGAAUUAAGAAUGGCGGUUGACUUUGGCAGAUCCAAUCUGCACAAUUUGUUCUACUUGCUCAACCUUCCCUUUCUAAAACAUAGUAUAUACAAACUGCGACGAAAACUAGUGAUGAGUUCGUGCAGAGGUGCUCAGGAAAUGGAGUAGUAUGUAGCCGGAAAGUGACCAGCCAGCCCGAGCCCAUCCACCUUCUCUCUCCCGCUCUGACGCUCUUUCCACGCUCUCCGAUGGCGUCAUGGUCCGGACGAAGAUAGCAACCUAUGCAAUGCUCACGCGGGAACGCUGGUACCAGGUCGAGCAGGAGAUCCGGGCGAGACGCGCCGCCUGCAUCGCUGUCAGGCUGCCUCUGAACUUACUGGGUCCCAAGGAGGAGGAGCAGGCGCAUGCGGAGGAGGAGGAGGAGGAGGGAGAGGAGCAACAACCCGCAUCGAUGGAGGAAGAGUAGGUGGACGAGGAUGCGAAGCACACAGAGCAGGAGAUGACUAAAAGGACAUGAAUGUCGUCUAAAGAGAGGGAGAUGAGUAUGUGCUUUAAAAUAAUUAAAGUUUAGGCUUGAACAAAUGCGGAAUAAAAUUAGAGUUUAAUUUGUCAAGUACAAAACCUAAAAUAAAUAGGUCUAUCUAUGUGCACAAGCAAAGUAAUAGCAAGAUAUAUAACAUGAAACAAUAUGGUUAUCACAAAGUAAAAUGCAUAAGUAAAGGGCUCGGGUAAGAGAUAACUGAGGCACGUGGAGACGAUGAUGUAUCCCCGAGUUCACACCCCUGCGGAUGUUGAUAUCCAUUUGGAGUGGUGUGGAGGCACAAUGCUCCCCAAAAAGCCACUAGGGCCACCGUAAUCUCCGCACGCCCUCACACAAUGCAAGAUGUCGUGAUUCCACUAAGGGCCCUUGAGGGCAGUCGAACGCGUAUAAAUGGCGACACUUGGGGGCGGAUACCGAACCCGUACAAUUGGUAACCCUUGGUGGUGGCCACCGAAACCCGUACAAAUUGCUCAGCGUAAUCUCCACAAUUUAAUUGGAGGCCCCGAAGCUUGUCCGGAGCUUUACACCAUAAUGAUUGAGUACUGUGACACCACCAACCGUCUAGGGUGCCUAAGCACCCAAGAGGAACAAACUCUAGGGUGCCCAAACACCCAAGAGUAAUCAACUUUUCAACUUUUCACUUCCACUUAUCAUCGUGGAGAACUCAAAUUGAUGCAACUAAUGCAACGACAAGAACACAUGAAGCGGUCAAGUCCCUCACUCCAAAAUCCUACCACAACAACAAAAGUUGUGAAGAAAUAUGAGAGGAAGAACAAGGAGAACACAAAGAACUUUAAGAUCUAGAUGCAAGGGGUUCCCCUCACUUAGAGGAGAAUGUGAAUGGUGGAAAUGUGAAUUUAGACAUUCUCUCUUUUUACCCUCAAGAACUAGCAAGAAUUAUUGGAUGGGUUGAGAGAUAGCAAGCUCGAAGAAGGUCAACAAUGGCCGAAGAACACGAGUUCAAAGGAUAAGUUCCAUUGGGGAAGAAGACCCCUUUUAUAGGUGGGGGGGGGGGAAUGUUGGAGAUAUGUUCUAGAGGCAAUCAUGUAUGAUGAUAUUUCCUAUGAUUUUAUGAAUAAAGAUAGUCCUUGGACAUUAUCAAUGAUGUGUAUCAACAAGUACGUGACUUGUUUGUGAGACUAUGCGGUGUAUGAUGAAUGUCCUAAAUGGUCCCUAGUCAAAAGGAUUGUGUAGACGCGCAACCAAUAAGACUAGCAUAUGACAUGGUGAAUGAUCCGGUCUCACUAACCAUGUAGCAUUGGAUGCUAUUCAGAUAAUAUGGAAUCACAAAGAUCUAGUCGGCUUCGACGUAGUCGGAUCCGACUCGAGAUAAGGCUUCGGCUUCAACUAUGAGACGCAGCGAUCGGUCAUCUGUCAGUCUCUAGUACAACAUACGUUCUAUGUCCUAAGACCUGAGCUGACGUAUGUAUUCGAAAUGGUAGAAAACCUUCUUUGGGGCGACCAAAUGCUACUCCGUGACUUGGUACUUACAAAGGUAGGUUUCAGGCUUGAUACACACCCAUGUUGCGAGACAUGUUCGAGCAAGAUGGGAUUUGCCCCUCCGACCAGGAGAGAUAUACUCUGGGCCCCUCGGAUGAUCCAGCCUAGAUAAGCAUGUCCAUGCGAUGAGGAUUAUAAGAUAAUCCAAAGUGUUGGUCGGAUUCACCGGAACGAGAAAGAGGUCGUGCUGCAACAUGGAUGACCAUGUCGCCUUGAGCACGACAACAAAUAUCAUGUGGCAAAGGGAAAAAGUGUGAAAUAAAGGUUCACCUAACCAGCUUCAUCGGACACUUGGAGUCGGCACGCUUUGCUAGAGGCCCCUACCAACUAGCCGAGCCGGAUGUGAUCUGACUCGCUACCGAGUGAACGAGAACCUAAGGGGUCGCGUGCUCAAAGGAAGGAACUUGUGGGUUUUAGGAUCCAUGCGACGCCCAAGAGUUGAGCCUGCAAUGAAUGCCUAUAUAUAGUGGAGGUUCGACAGACUCAUUGGGGUGAUCUCUUAGGCGCCUGCAUUAGGGCUUUACAUGUACACGGUAUUGGAGGUGUUGCAACUAGCCACCUCCAUUCGCUGCCGACUGUGUGAUCGGACCUAGAAGUCUACCACACGGUAUUUCUCCUGAUGCGCGUAUACCUUUAGGGGCGAUGCACUUGCGCCACUCCGGCGAACUUGUACGUGGGGUCCGAUGACCAGCUGUUCGAGGGAUAUCGGACAAGGGGGAGAUGGACCUAACGGACGCGCUGCCCCAACUCUACUUCUGUGGCACGGCACUGCACGUCAUUAGUAACAAUCUGUGAUCCAUCUCUCGAGCAUGUUCUUGGAUGUUUUGCGCGUAGGAAAAAUUUAAUUUGCAUUCGAUGCACCUACAGUAGAUCCCAACAGCAAAUCUAACCAAUCUACCCCAGCCCGCGGUAAAGCGGUACUACCGCUCAGGAAAGCGGCACUACCGCUCAGGAAAGCGGUAUUACCGCUCUACAACCACUUUACUACCGGAGAUGCAGAAAGGGCAAUAGAAACUUACACACCCCUCGAAAGCAAGCGGUAGUAGUACCGUAGAAACAAGCGAUAGUACCGGUACUAGCUUGCUACUACCUCUCCACUACCGAUAUAAAAAAUUAGACACCGAAAAGAUGCACGGAAAGGAUUUCCCAAGCAGUACUAGCACUGGUAGUACACAACAAAAGUACUUUUAAAGCGGUACUACCGUGGUAACGAGCGGUACUACCGCCUGAGCACAGAAAAACUGCCCUGACACUAAUAAUGCCAUAACUCUUGCAUAUGGACUUCGAAUUGAGCAAACUCAAGCUUGUUGGAUAGCAGACGACAAGUACUAUCCAAAAAAGCAAUGAAGAAUAAAUUACAAUAUGAUAAGGAAGAGGAACUCCCCAAAGUAUGUAUCGACAAAUUCUCCAACACCGAAAACACAAAGAUGAUGCAUAUGAACUCCAUUUUCGAUGAACUUGAGUUUGAUUAGAAGACAAACACAAACUCUAAAUCCUCACAUUGAGAAAAAUCAAACAAGAACCAAGAAAUAUGAUGAUACCAAGUAUGCAAUGGCUUUAUAUCUCUAUGAACGAUACGAUAUAAGUUACUCGAGAGCCCCCCCCCCUUAUGAUAGUAUGGCAAUUGAUUCUAUAACACAAUCUCCCAACUAACACCAUGAGACCGGUAAAAUAGAAACCUAUCAAGGACAAACCUUUGCCUUGUGCAUAGUCCACUUGAGCUAGAUAAUGAUGAUCUUGUCCUCCUCAAGAUGGCGAGUAAGGCUAGUCCUUCGUGGACAUAAGCCAUGAUGGAAUAAACAAGGUUGCUUCUCCAUGGACCCUUCGUGGGUUGAGCCCUCUGUGGAAUCUCGUGGCCGUUACCCUCCGUGGGUUGAAGUCUCUAUCAACAUGGACGUACGAUAGCACCACUUAUUGGAACAACACCAAAAAACUUCGUGUCAAUCUUUGUGUUUGAUCUUCCUAUCCAUACCGUCUACUUACAUGGGCAUGUCUUUACUUUCCGCUAAUAUAUUCUUAGACUUGCAUGUGUAGGGUGUGCUUGACUUGCUACAAUUGCUAAAACUUGCCCGCAACUAAAAUUGGGAAGAGGAUAAGUUUUUAUUUGGUCAAGUAGUCUAAUCAUCCCCCCUCUAGACAUACUUGUAUCCUGUAUUUUGGGAGAAUUAUAGAAACAUCAAUUAUAUGCCAAAUUCAGCAAAUGCGAAUUUUGGCUAAGAGAAGUCGGCUUUCUAGGGCAUGUGUUGACACAGGAUGGAAUUGUCGUGUAUCCAAAUUAAGGACAGUAAAACCGGACCUAUUCCGAGCUCUCUCACGCAUCCUUGCUCGUGAGCCGUUGAUUUCGCGUGUGGGAUGUAGAUCACCGUCAAAUCAAUGUUCAGGUCGCGAACUGGGCUGUCUGAUGCGCCUCUACUCACAUGUGGGCUACUAACGGGCCGAUUGUCCUGGGGGCUGCUACUCCCGAAGCCAGUUUGAAGCCCUCUCAUUCGCCUAUACGAGUUAACGUCCGAUCACGAACGAACGGUCGUGAUACGCUUAUGGCUGACCUAACCCCAUCCCACCUCCUCACGACUUGCCUUGUCUCCCUCGUCUCCAUCUGAGAGAUGGCGGCGCAACAGCUUCCCAAGCUCCUCGGAGCCUUCCCUGGUGGGGACGCCAUUGGGCAUGCCACUGAGCAUUGGAUCCCCUUGGAGCCGCAGCCACACUUGCGAGGGUAUCGAGCGCGAGACAAGCAAGAUGAUCCAGCGCAUGGGGAGCAAAAACCGGCGCCAGGGGAGGCGAUCAAGGGGAUCCAGCGGGACACGCUUCAGCCGAUGCGCUUGAGGGAAAUGGAUCCAGCAGACGAGGGGAUCCAACGGGCGUGAGAGACGGUGGCCAGCUGUGCUGUCCUUCUACAAUCUUUGCUCUGAAGGUGCAGGCAGCAGAUAUGGGCUUCACUCUCAAAUCGUUGGCGACGAAGGGUUUUCUCUGAGAUCGGUACAACAGGGAGGAACUUUGCUGCACAGGCCGUCUUGGCAAGGGGAAAGGGUCCGGACCUACAUCCCCAUAUCUAUGCAAAUAUCACUUCUCUUUAUCUUGGAUGUUCUAAUCUUCAGAUUUGUCUACUUUCCACAUGCCGAGUAGUAUCCCACGACAAUCAGGAAGUGGCCGCCGUCAGUGCCCUUUUACUCAAAAUUAUCCAUGUUAAUCUAUGCAUGGAUGCUCGUCACUGAACUUUGCUUUUUUUUACUGCUUUCUACCAUGAAGUCCUUACUUUUUGUUCAUUGUUGAUCUAUGCUACAAAUCUUUGCAUAUGUUCUUUUACUCAGUUUAUUCAUGUUGCAGGAUAGCAAUCUUUGCAUAUGUUCUGCCCGAAGCCCAAUCGAUCAGUAUAUUUUCUUCCUAUUCCAUCUCUAAUUAGUGUUAGUUACUUCUGGCAUGGAGAUCGUGCACAAGUUAAAGUUCAGCUUAGCAGGCAAUGUAAACUAAAAGUUACAUGCAAAGAUAAUUGUACACAAUCUGCUAAAAACAACAUGCAUUCUUAUCUAGAUUACUGUUCCAUCUGAGACAGACAUGGUUUCAUUCUAAUCUGCAUUGUGUGAGUAUGUAAAAAUUUGGAUUGCACAAUAUCCAUAUUUGUUUAUUGUCUCCACAAGGAUUUUUCUAUUGUAAAGUAGAAAGGCAAGAGGAGGAUGCUGUGCUUAAUGUGAAUCAGCAUCAGUGAUUUAUUUAUUUUGUAAUUGUUUAUUUCCCUUAUCAUGAUUUUUUUAACUGAAUCCAUUUUGAUAUUUUCCUCAAACAAGUUCCAAAACGAUGACUUCAUCUACUCUUUCCUAAUUUAUGGUAUUCACUUUGGAUCGAUGGGAAACUUAAACUUCUGAAGGAUCCUUAUCCGCUAUUACACACGUAAAUAUCAACUUCGCUGAUUCUCUGUCUGCUACUUAUUGUAACUACUAUGCACAUAACUCAAUGAACAUUUAAGUAUGCCGUCAAAAAUUAGCUGCUUCUUGCGAGUGCCACUUAUGCUCUAUCUGUUGUAUUAAGAUUCAAGAUGCACCAUAUCCUUACUCUAAUAUUUUUAUCAAAGUCUGCUCUUAUCUGGAUUUUCACUUAUUAAUAUUUUCUUAAAAAAAUUAUUUGCUAAUAUUUUCCUUUUUAUGAUGAGACAUGUUGACUAUGUUUAUUAUAUUUGUAGGUAUACAUAGAUAGUUCAGCGUGAACCUCAGCAAUGCAAACUAAACUUUGUAUUUAUAUAUUUUAUUUGUAGUGGAUUGUGUUACAAAUAAGUCUCUACAACAUGAACCUGAUAGCGACAACAUAUUGUUUGCUCUGCCCCUGCAGCGGCGUCCAGGUGGACUUCUAUGGGAUGUCACUAGAGGGUGCGGCUUGUAGGUGAGGGAGAUGAUGGCGGACUUUUGUUCCCCUUCCAUUGAACUUUUUUUUUCUCCAUCGACAACAUCAAUACCACAUACCAGCAAUCUGCUCUUUUUCGGAGCUGGACUCUUGGUCAGCAUUUUGCUUCCCUAUACAGUGUUCCGUUUUGUUCAACCAAUUUCUUUUUUUCCCUAUUUUUUCUUUAUGUGUUAUCAUGGAUCUGAUUAUGGAUAUGUGUGGGCACUUACAGUUACAAAACAGUAUGGGUUCAUGGUUGUGGAAUUGUUCUCAUUGGUUUGGAGGAACAUGCCUUGGUCAUGAUUUAAUCAUUGGAUUAACUAUUAGGAUUUGAAUCUAAUGGGACUACAUACUUUCGCAUUCAAUCUUCUUACAUAAGAUAUUGGCAGAGGCCUCCCUUCCCUGCUGCAUCAUCGGUUGGGGCUCUGCAUCUCCUGUCAAUGGGUACACCUAGUGUCAACCCUUUUGCUCUGCUCCUGUAUGUAUGACCCAACUCACUCUUUGAUAUGAUAGUUCGGUAUUUUUCGGAUGCUGACUAAACCUCCAUGUUCAAUUUAGUUGUACAAUAGUAGUGCAUAGUCGAAUUGUAUUGCCCUUUGCUUCUAGAUACGUAACUAUAGAUCACAUUGACCUCUACCUGGAAUCAAGCAAUUUUUUGACUAUGAGGUGUAACAUGUUGUUUCUAUUGCAGAAUUUAAAAAAUGGUAACUGUUCUAUAAGUUAAUGUAGAAGUGUUAAUAUUGUAGGAGUUGUACAAACGGAACCAAAGAUUACUUACAACUUAUUAAACGGUUUUGCUCAGUGAUGUCGUAUGUACUAUAUUGCUUUGCUUUUUUCGUAAUCGGGCUCUUUUGUUAUAUAACAAAAACCUUAAGUUUGCUCUUCUCUUUGCUUUCCAUCAAAAUAAUCCAUCAUAUGCAUAUUUCUCACGGAGCCUUUCCCCUGCAGAUAAUGCCUUUUCUGUCUCUGCUCUAAUUAGACUUGCUGAGCCAGGUUGGUGAUCAUCUUCUGGUGGAACCCUAUGAUAGUACUCCAUCCUUUAUGCAGUGAAAUAUUACCCGUUGAAGGUGUUGUAUUUCGUGCAGGUUGCAUCUUUUAGCUAUGGUGGUUUAUAAUUCUUCUCUCGUGUUGGCAAAUAGUUGAUGUGUCAACAUGUUUUCUAAGACAAUAUUGAUGUAGAUUAUCGACUGUUUCAUUUACUGUCAAACAUAUAUUCUUUAUGUACACAAACUUAACUUUAUUUUCACAAGCCCAUGCAUUACAAAAUUUUCCUAUCAUCCAACUGAAAAAAUGCAUGGGCGCUGCAACGCGCGCCAUCAAUGUUCUAGUAAAGUGAAAGAUGUACUUGGAUGGAAGCAACCAACCAACAUGACAGAUGUAAGAAGUUUUUUGAGAAUGGCCGGAUAUUACAAGAAAUUUAUUGAAGGCUUCUCCACCAUAGCCAAGCCCUUGACUCAACUGCCCAAGAAAGAUAAUAAAUUUGAAUGGAGUCAAGCCUGCAAGAAAAGUUUCCAAGAACUUAAAAAGAGGUUGACAAUUUCACUAGUAUUAAUUGUACCAAAUAUACACAAAAAAUGAGGUAUAUUGCGAGGCAUCCAGGAAAGGUGUUGGUUGUGUGCAAAUACAAGAAGGAAAAGUUGUAGCCUACACCUCAAGACAACUGCGAUGUCAUGAAGAAAAUUAUCCUACACAUGACUUGGAAUUAGCAGCGGUAGUUCAUGCACUCAAGGAAUGAGGAAAUUUCCUUCUUGGUAGUCACUGUGAAAUAUAUACAUACCACAAAAGUAUCAAAUAUACUUCCGCACAGCCGAAACUCAACUUACGGCAACGUCGUUCGUUCGAAUUAAUCAAAGAUUAUGAUGUGGGAAUUCACUACCACCGGGUAAGGAAAAUGUUGUAGCACAUGCUCUCAGCCGAAAUCAGAGUCCAGGCAGGAGCAUCCUGCAAUUUUGAAGACCUGGAUUCAAACGGGAGUUUGCUAAACUCAACAUGAUUUUGGUUCUGGAAGGCAGGGUUGCACGUCUGGAAAUACAACCCAUAUUGAAGGAAUAGAUCAAGAAAUCUCAAAGUGGACACCCCAGCUUCGGUAUAAAAAGGAAAGUAAGCAUAAGCAAGGCCUCGAAAUUUACCAUUGACGAUCAAGAAAUUUUAUGGUACGAAGACACGUUGUGCGUACCUAAUCAAGAGCACCUUAAAUAAAAAAUCUUGUCACAAGCUCAUACCACACCAUACUCCAUCCAUCCGGGAGGAACUAAGAUGUACAAGGAUAUUCAAGAAAGAUUUUGGUGGCACGGCGUGAAAAUGGAUAUAGCCUCAUUCAUUGCACGUUGUGAUUCAUGUCAGCGCAUUAAAGCCGAGCAUCAGAAACCAGCAGGACUACUACAACCACUCAAGGUACGUGAAUGGAAAUAGGAUGAGAUAAGCAUGCAUUUUAUUGUUGGACUACCCAGGUAACGACAAGGAAACGAUGCCAUCUGGGUCAUCUCUGACUUAUUAACUAAAGUGACACAUUUUAUUCCAAUGAAGACAACUUACUACACACACAAGCUUGCCAAGCUUUAUCUCGCUCGGAUCAUCUGUUUACAUGGAGUCCCAAAGACCAUAAUGUCAUACAGAGGCACACAAUUCGUCUCCAUAUUUUGGGAUUAUCUACAACAAGCCUUGGGAAUUAAGCUGGUAUUCAGUACAGUGUGUACCAUCCUUAGACUGGAGAACAAACUGAACAUGUAAAUCAAAUAUUGGAAGACAUGCUAAGGGCAUGUGUCCUUACUUGUGGAGCCAACUAGGAAGACAACCUUCCAUAUGUCGAAUUUUCGUAUAACCGCAGUUAUCAGGUCAGUCUAAAAAUGUCACCUUUUGAAGCAUUGUAUGGACGAAUAUGCCGCACACCACUUAAUCUGUCUGAGACGCAAGAUAGCUGUAUCUUUGGCCCAGAAAUGCUCCAAGAGGCCGAGGGAAAGGUUAAACUCAUCGGAGACAGACUCAAAGCAGCCCAGGGCCGUCAAGGAGUUAUUAUGAUCAGAAACAUCAUGACAUCAGUUUUGUACCCAAUGAAUAUGUUUAUCUCCGAGUAUCCCCUAUGAGAGGUCUCCAGAGAUUCAAAGUAAAAGAAAUAUUGGCACCACGGUUUAUUGGGCCUUUUCGAGUAAUUGCAAGGAGAGGCAAAGUUGCGUACCAACUAGACCUACCUGCAGAAUUGUCUGACGUCCAUGACGUAUUCCACGUACCACAGCUAAGGAGAUGUGUCAGUAACCCGGAAAAGCAAGUACCACACGAGAGCCUAGACAUUCAGCCAGACCUUACCUACCGAGAGCUUCCUAUAAAAAUAUUGGAAGAGUCUGAAAGGAGUACACGUUAGAACGUGAUCAAAUUAUUCAAAGUUCAGUGGAGCAACCACACCGAAGAUGAGGCAACAUGGAAAAGAGAGGAUUUCCUACGGACUGAAUAUCCACACCUGUUUGAGGAAUAGCUGAAAUCUCGGGGACGAGAUUUUUCCUAAGGGGGUAGGUGUUGUAACAUCCCAAAAAAUUUAAUUUGGUUUAACAAAAAAAUUAUUAUUUGAAGAGGGUUAUUUGGAUUUAUGGUAAAACUUUUCUUUCAAAAAUCUUAUUGGUUGAAAACCCCUUGUAAAAAAAAUCACAAUCUUGGUUCUUGACUUUCAAGAUUUCAGAUUGUGUUCCUUUGAAAACAAAGGUUUUCUAAGGUUUUAUAUUUUGUUCUUAUUAAGGGACCACCUUUGGAAUAGAAUCCAAAUAUUUUCUUUUUAAAAUCUUUUGUCAUCUCUCGUGCUAAAUCAUAUUUCGAAAUAUUCCUCUCUAAUAUUUCUUCCCUGCCCCAAGACAGCAACCACCUCAUUUUCAUAAAAUCUUUAAGCCCCUCAUAUAUUUUCUUUUACUAAAAUUGCUUUAAAACAAUUCCUGUAUUUUAUUCGGAUCGCUGGGAUUUUUCAAAGGGACUCGUAGAUGCCUUGCUCUUUGGACCUCAAAUAAAUUGCCCCAGCUAGUCCUUAGUGCCUACAACAAAAUUAUCCAAAAACCUCCUGGUCUUUAGUUCAAAAUUUUCAAAUUUCAUUUGAAGGAAAUUUGGACCAGAUUUAUCUUUCUUGCUGAAAACCAUUCUUCCUCUACUACAAAAAUUCUGAGUAAAUUCAUGGAAUCCCUAGAUACUUUAGUAGAUCUCCACACCAAAAAUCAGCACAAGGAAAAUUUUGUAAAUGCCAUUGGCAUUUUGCCGAGCACCUGAUGUGCAUGGUUUCAGUUCUUGGUCAAAUCAGCACAAUCUCAGCAGUGCUCCGGCUUGUUCCCUUCUCCCUCUUCAUCAGUGCCCUCGCCAGAACACCGGAACAUUUUUUGUCCACCUCUAAUUGUCACGGUGAGCUGAUGCGGUCUGCGCCGUCCUCAUCCACGGCAAUAGGGACGCCCGCGGCGGCCAGAGGAGAUCUUCUAGACGUUCGGCACCGUCCAGCACCGCCCAUCGCUCCUAGAAUCGCCGUGUGUCCGCCCGCAGCAGCAAGCACAGCUAGUCAGUCGUCGUGGCCCGUUCAUGGAGCGCAGCGACUGCCGUCCGUUCGGGUCGUUCCGUCGACCCUCGGACUAACCUCAAUAUUGGCAACGCGUUUGCAGCCAGAGCAAGCCAUUGAUCACCCCUAAACCCCUCGCGCCACCGUAACGCGCCGUUCAACCCCCUGCCUCGUCGUUCCACCGCGUCGGAGUUAUUCGCUCGCGGCCACCUCGUCAAAUCGCCUAUAAUAGGCCCCCGGAGCUCCUCCUCCAUUCCCCUCCACCACCCGCAUAGAGCCCCAAUCCCUAGCUAAGACCAUCAGGGCCUUCGUCCUCGUCUCCGGCCGCCCGAUCCACAACGGAUCCGGGGUUAAAUUCGUCAGUGGUAGCCUGCUUCCUCUUCCCAAAUCGUGCUCUUAGUCCCAUAGUGUUCCCACAUCCCUGACCCGCGUGUCAAUUUGACGUUUGCAGGUCCCUCCGAUGAGCUUCAUCUUCCCCGUAGUCGGUGAUCGCCGGAGUUGAGGCUGCCAACUUUGUGGUGCUAGCUGGCGACCAGAUCCACCACCCACCGAUGAGUAAGAAGUCCUUGAGCACGCGUGCAUCCAUCUCGCCCUCUGAUUCGCCGUCGAUCGCCGCCGGUAAUCUCCGUCACCCUCUGCCCAUCGCCAUAUUCCAAAUCUGACGAGUGGGACCCCUUGUCAGGGUUCUUUCUUUUUCAGUCAGUUUCGAGGAAGCGUAUUUCCGCGGGUUACGUUUUCCAUGUUGGCCCGUAACUUUUCCCCGAAGCAUUUUCUGCUUUAGCAGUCUAUAUCCUGUGGAUAUUUCUCUUUUCAUUAUAUAAAGGUCCCUGGCCUUACUUCUUUCAUAUCUUUUAAACCAAAAAUGAUUUGGCAUUGAUUCUUUUUCUGAAAUUUUUCUUUUUCAGUCUAUUUUUUGUAGUAUUUAUUUAAAAAUAUUUUGGGACAACUUUUUAUGCAUCCAUGGUAUUUACAUAGAUAUCCCGUAUUUUAUGGUAUAAAUAACAAGGGGGGAAUAAUGCUGGCAAUUUCGGAGAAUUGUCUUCCGACAACAUUGAUCCCGGCAAGCAUGUUUGAACCUUCGAUAUCAUGAUUGCUGUCAUGUGUGCCUAACAAAUUUUUGUUGCAUGUAGACGCGGUAGUUAUAACAUGGUUGUUGUGUUGCAUGCAUGAAUGCUUUGCAUAUGAGCUACAAACUUGAAAAGUUCAUGAAGUCUGAGACCUAAUCACGUGGUGACGUGAUAGGUUGUGGCCUGGUCACGUGUUAACGUGAUAGGUUAUGGCCUGGUCAUGUUGGAGCAUGCUAGUAUGUUAACAAGCUAAGUAACUCCGGUAUCGGCAUAGAUCGAGUCUUGUCUCCGUGCUACCUUAUUUUUUCAUGCUGCCACAUGUUUUUCUCUAAAGGGGAUACAAUUUAGUAAGUUGCAAACCUAUUUCCAUGUACACACCAAAUAGAGGAGUCGUGAUGACAGUUUCAUGGCCUUGGGAUAAUGGCAAUCAUCCGGUUAGGGAGCAUGGGUGUUUUCGGCUGAGCCGGAGAGGGAGGCACCCCUUAGUUGCGCGCGUUAUAAAUUUUAUCCCAUGUCAUUCAAGAUGCCGGCCUCCUCGUCUUAUACUUUUUUUCUAGAAUGUUGCUUUGGAUGAUUUUCCAAAGCAUCGUGAGGUGAAAUGAAUGUGUACUGUUUACGUGUGUUUACUUCCAAAAUACCAUAAGCGAAAUUAUUGUUUCUUAUUGGAAUAACCUAUUUAGUUGAAUGACGCUUCGAGUAUCAUUUGGAAUGGUUUUACCACCUGAAUACCCGCAUUCUAAUUUUUAAAUAUAAGCCUUUUAUGUGGUAUCACCGAGAUGUCUGACUCUAAUAGUUUAUACGUUUAACCUUUCGAGGCAUCGCUUGGGACACCCGAUGAGUGUAUUUUAUUUUCUAUUUAUCUUUUCAAGACAUUACUUCAGACAUUCGAUUGGUGUAUUUUAUUUUCUAUUUAUCCUUUGGAGGCAUCGCUUGAGACACCCGAUUGUUAUAUUCUAUUUUUUUGUUUAUCCUUUCAAGACAUUACUUCAGACACUCGAUUGGUAUAUUUUAUUUUUUAUUUAUCCUUUCGAGGCAUCGUUUUUAGACACCCAAUUGGUCUAUUUAUAUUUGUUGGAAAUUUCGGGAGUACCGCUCGACUUUUCCACCUCAUGCAUUGUUUCAUUACACGGCUUAUUUUUUAUAUUUGAUGACUUUUCCACCUCAUGCAUUGUUUCAUUACACGGCUUAUUUUUUAUAUUUGAUGAAAUGUUGCAUUUAAUCUACCCUGAAUAUGUGCAUUCUGUCUACAUUCAGUAUGUCUUAUGUCCAAAUUGUCUUGCGAGUACAUUCAAAGUACUUACCUGGCUUGUUGAUUUGGACAAAUAUUAACGAAGCAAUUUUAUAGAUGAAUAGUAAGUAGUACUACCACCAUUUUCACUGUCAGAUAUCCGCUUCUAUAAGAUAUAUUGGCGUGUUUGUAAUAAAUUGUUAAGCAACCUGAGCUCACCCAUGUAUAAUAUUAAGCACUACUGAAGUUCUGUAUCAAGGAUUGUUUAUCAUUGUGAAUUUAUUUUUGUACUGGGAUGACAUUAAGGGCUAUUUUUUAUACACAUUUUAUUCGGAAACUGGUCCUGAUAGUGCCCAUUUGCCCCUGAAUUGCACGUUGCGCCACUAAAGUGAGCAUUAGAAAUUGUAGCUAUGCUUGCAGAUGUACAUUUAGAACAUUGUUUUGUACUUUUUAGCUAAGGAUUCAACUAAUGUUCCUUUUUUGACAAGAUUUCAGCAUUUCAAUGAAGUUUUCAGCUUUUAUAAUUGAUUGUUUCAGUGCUGAACGGGACUUGAACAUAACCAUUAGAUACAUAGGGCUAACUUAUAUUAAGAAACUGUGCUUAAUUUUGUAUUUUCGGUAGUAUGUAAAUGUGCACAAGGUUCAACCUUAUUGCAGCAAGAGAUACAAGGAGCACCAGGUAAGUAGUACUACCACCAUUCAUUAUAGUUUCAUAUACAGUCACAUGUGCAGUGCGUUUGGUUUACUUGCAAGUACAAGUCAAUAGAAUUUUCAACUCACGCUGUUAGAGCCUGAAAAAUUCAGCAAGAUAACCAAUGAACUGGAAGUGUUUUGGGUACUUGCAUGGUUGAGGAAGAAAUUUUGGUUAUUCCUAAAUGCCUAUUGCAGAAUGAUACUAAUGAUUCACAUCUACCCAAGCUUGAGGCUCAAAUUCAACACUUAAAAAGUUAUUGAUACCUUUGUUUCACAGGCUAAGCUAAAUCAAGACGACCUAAUUAGUGACCAACUACUACCACCAGGAUGGAUAUGAGAACCAACAAUUAAAAAAAACAUCCAAAAUUGCUCCUCAGACCAUAAUAGGAACAAAUAGUUUUUCCUGAAGAACAAACCUGUUGGUUCAGAAGAUAGUACUAAUUAUACUGGGAGCAUAAUAGGAUGUGUCCUUUUAAAAAAUGGGCGAUGGCCAUUUCUUCAGAAAAGAAUUGUGGAACAGACCCUUUUAACAUAAGGGGUGCAAAAAUAGAAAUGCAGAUCACGGCAACAAAAAUGUACAUACUUGGAUAAUCAAAUCAAAUGGGUAUUUGUAGAGGCAUAAACAAUCAAUUGAAAUGUCCGUAAAUGAGAAUUCAAAUGCAUGAAGUGAUGUUGCAGUUUAGAUUAUUCUCGUAGUAUUUGUGACAAGUUUGCAUUCACAUACAAUGCAUUUGAGCCAUCUUAUGUAUUAGUUGUAAAUUACAUAUCAUCGGCGUAUGUGAAAUGACUUUAUCACAACCCAAGAACAAAAUGAAAAGAGAACAGCAAAACUCAACUACAUCUACAACUGUAAACCAAUAGACAUGUCACAUAUGGUAUGAUAGACCCAACCAAAUUUAGCACCACAGGGUAGGCAAUGGUGAAUGGUGGAUAAACCACAGGGCACCAAUAUGCUCCACACUAGCAAUCAUCACACUGCAACUGUCUACAGCAACAGUUUCAGACACAUCUAGGGAUGAAAUAACACAUGUAUCUAAAACAAACCAACCACGCAAUCACUGGGAUGAACUGAAUUAUAAUUGCAAGUGACAAAGAUCACACACAUCAACAAUCAACAUAUCAUAAACCAGCAGUAGCAAAAUAUUCAUCCACAUAUCAAGCCAUGCAUAGCUAUUGGCUACUAACACCUGCAAUAAAGGGUUAAGCUCAAGAACACUUGUAUCAACAAGAUAUAUCCCAUGAUGGCAUCAAUCAGAGCAAUGACAGCAUAGCAUACGGAACAAAACUUAAAGCUCGCAUCACAUCUCAGCAAUAGGCGAUCAAAUAUCCAGGAAACACAACAUAUUACUCCAAGGUUUCAGUUUUCAAAGACAAACUGGACACAUAAAUGAGUUCUAUUCGCGAUAGGUAAAAGAGCAGAGCAAACACAGGCCAGCUCUAAGCCUUCUGGUUGUAGACAUAGGUGAGUCCGCACUUGCCGCAGUAGUGGCGGUCGAAGUGGUUGGCCAUGAAGGUGCCGGCACCGCACUCGGCGUUGGGGCACUCCUUCCUGAGCCUGGUUACCUUGCCGGUGGCGUCGUCGACCUUGUAGAACUGGAGGACGGCGAGCUUCACCUUCUUGUGCUUGUGCUUUUGCUUCUUGGGUUUGGUGUACGUCUUCUUCUUGCGCUUCUUGGCGCCACCGCGGAGGCGGAGCACCAGGUGGAGGGUGGACUCCUUCUGGAUGUUGUAGUCGGCGAGGGUGCGGCCGUCCUCGAGCUGCUUGCCGGCGAAGAUGAGGCGCUGCUGGUCCGGCGGGAUGCCCUCCUUGUCCUGGAUCUUGGCCUUGACGUUGUCGAUGGUGUCCGACGACUCCACCUCCAGCGUGAUGGUCUUGCCCGUCAGGGUCUUCACGAAGAUCUGCAUCUUGGCGGCGGUGGGGUGGUCGCCUCCGCGCGCUGCGACGGCGACGGUGGCGGCGGCGCCGCUGGGGUUUGGGCGGGGGCGGCGGGAUGGAACGGAGGCUAGGGUGCAGAAAGGGUCUGCCUUCUUAUAAGUACAAGUACGCGAGAGCAUAUUAGCUGUUGGAUCUAGGGGUUCCAGAUCGGACGGCUGGCUUUCGUGGACGCUAUUUUGGGCUGGGCUGGAUUUUGCUUCGGGCCCAUGCCUCCUGAGGAAUUCGUUCCAGUCAAGAAACGUGUGAAUUCCAUUCAUUUAACAAGUGUAAACUCCAUUUAGCCCUUGAAAUGUGUAAAUUCAAUUUAGUGGUGAAAAGUAUUUUUAUAUAAGAGUAAACGUGUAAAAUUCUACAUUUUGUCCAGCAAAAGAAUUGGCCUCGCAAUUAAUAAGAUAUAUAAACUAGGAAGACUCUACAGAUUCAAAAAAUGGUUACUUUUGGUAGAAAAAAAAAACAUUGGUUACGACUCUCGCAGCAUCGCUUUGUUUCUUUUUCCGAGAUAGCAUCGAACUUAACAGGUUAGUGAGAUGUACACUCUCAUGAAUUCCUAUGAAAACCAAGCGGGGACGCUCCAAUAUUGGUUGGAGCCCAAUAUUCGGCUGCAAUUCCAUUCGAAAAUAUGAUAACCAUCCAAAGAGCGACAUUCAGGCUGUCCCAAUGCAAAUAUCUAAUUUCAAACCCCAAUAUCAACACUCAAACAGCGCCCAAGUGAUAUUUGUUUCCAUCCCAAUUUUAGAGGUGUUUGCACCAUGGAAUUUGAUUCCACCGUCCCUCGUGGUUUGUUACUUUGCCACAACAUUCUGGGCAAAUAUGGGUUUAGAGCCACAACAAGAGAGUAUAGUUGUUCUAGUGCAAUUAUUAUCUCCUAACAUAACCAUGUAUGUCUUGAGACAAUCAAUUUACCUAAUGUUCCAGGGCCACAUAGUAGACACACCAAACAGUAUAAAUAACAUCCUAAUCUUACCGCAAAUAAAAAUUCCAGCAUAACUGCAGCAAAACUGUAACGGCCAAUAUAGUGUACUCACUCUGUUCCUAAAUAUACUGUACUCCCUCGUUUUGUUCCUUAUGCUGUCCUCUAGUGAAAUCUCUAAAAAGACUUACAUUUAGAAACGGAGGGAGUAUGACUGAGUUGAAAUACCCAGCAGUAUGAACAACGUCCUAAGCCCGGCGCAAAUAAAGACUCCAGCACAACUAACAUCAGUCAAACAGUAAUCUAGCAACAAUGGCAGCAGCAAACAGUAAAUUCAAGCAACAAUAGCACCAGCAAACAGUAAAUUCAAGCGGCAAGACAUGGCAAAUGCAAACCACAAUAACUGGAAAAAGAUCACCAAAUGUGAUUUUGUCCAUUGCAAAUAGCAUUGAACCAUUCAACAAAUCAAAUUGGCGAUACUACGCAACAUGUCCAGUUAUUACCAUACUUGCAAUUAUAAAUUAUUCAGCAUAUGCAAACUAAUGCCACAUCCAGAAAAAUAUGAAAGGCAAACAACACAUCAUAUCCAGAAUAAUAUUUACGUAUAUCUAAGAUUGUAACCAUAUACACAGAUACGGUAUGACCACACGAUUUUCUUAACCCAGCCAGGAUUGCCAAUGACACGCACCGAAGGCAGGCAAUGGUUAAUGAUGGAACACAAAACAGAUGGACAAACAACAGGACAGGAAUUUGCAGCAUUUCUUCAGAGAUGAAUUCAGAUAAUAUGGAUACAAAAAUAGAAAUGCAGACUGUGCCUACAUAAAUGUACAGAUUUGGAUAAUCACAUCAAAUGGGCAUUUGUAAUGGCAUAAAAAAUAAACUGAAAUAUCUGUGGAUGAGAAUUCAAAUAGCUGAACUGCCUUGUUGCAACAGCCAUGAAAAAUAAAGAGAAUUGCUGUUGCACUUCUGCUUAUUCUCGUAAGAUUUGUAAUUUUAAGUCCAAUGCAUCAAAGCGCCUUCAGUACUAGUUAUAAAUUACAGAUCUUCAGCGUGUGCGAAAUGACUUUUUUUAGCUGAUGUGAAAUGGCAUAUCACAACCAAGAACAAACUAAAAUAAGAACACCAAAACAGACAUCUGGUAUGAUAGACCCAAUCAAAAUUACCACCACAGGUAGGUCAAGGCAAAUGGUGCACACACACAAUACUUAUGGCUAAACAACAAGGCAGCACUAUGCUCCACACUAGCAAUCAUCGAACUGCCACUGUCCACAGUAUAAGGUAACUAGACAUCUAUAGGUAUCACUUACCAGGGCCACAUAUUCAGAGUUUUCAGGCACAUCUAGGAAUCCACUAACAAAUGUAUACUAGAACAAAGAAAAACACAAUCGCUUGGAACAAUCAGAAUUCUAGUUGUAAGUGAUAAAGACCACACUCGGUCAAACAGCAAUAGCAAAAUACUCAACCACUCGUGAACCCAUGCAUGACUAUUGGCUAGUAAUCUCGAAAGAGCUAUGCAUACGAGAUUUUAUACGACAAUGCAGAUCUAACCAUCCAUGCAUAGAACUAAACCACAGCAGACCACUUGAUUACUGAUUGUAUUUAUAGUGAUCGAACACGUAAGUAUCGUUUGCAUAGCUGUUUCAUCAAGAUACAACCUGCAAUAAAGGGUUAAGCUCAAGAACACAUGUAUGAACAAGAUACAUGUCACAUUAGAUCAACAAAGCAUAAAAUAUGAUAGCGGCCAUGAAAAAGAAUAACGUCAUUCACAAUGACCAAAAUUUUAGCUCGCAUAGCAUCUCAGCAAUAGGCGAUCAAAUAUCCAGGAAACAUAUUACUCCAAGGUUUCAGUUUUCAAUGACAAACGAUAGGGUAAAAGAGCAGUGCAAACGCAAGCCACCUCUAAGCCUUCUGGUUGUAGACGUAGGUGAGGCCGCACUUGCCGCAGUAGUGACGGUCGAAGUGGUUGGCCAUGAAGGUCCCGGCACCGCAGUCGGCGUUGGGGCACUCCUUCCUGAGCCUGGUUACCUUGCCGGUGGAGUCGUCGACCUUGUAGAACUGGAGGACGGCGAGCUUCACCUUCUUGUGCUUGUGCUUUUGCUUCUUGGGCUUGGUGUACGUCUUCUUCUUGCGCUUCUUGGCACCACCGCGGAGGCGGAGGACCAGGUGGAGGGUGGACUCCUUCUGGAUGUUGUAGUCGGCGAGAGUACGGCCAUCCUCGAGCUGCUUGCCGGCGAAGAUGAGGCGUUGCUGGUCCGGCGGGAUGCCCUCCUUGUCCUGGAUCUUGGCCUUGACGUUGUCGAUGGUGUCCGAGGACUCCACCUCCAGCGUGAUGGUCUUGCCCGUCAGGGUCUUCACGAAGAUCUGCAUCUUGGCGGCGGUGGGGCGGUCGCCUCCGCGCGCUGCGGCGGCGACGGCAGUGGAGGCGGGGGCGGCGGGGUAGGGGUUUGGCGGCGGUGUGGAAUGGAGGCUAGGGUAUGCGAGAGUCUGGUUUUGUACAAGUAUAAGUAGGCCGGAGAAUAUGAGCUGUUGGAUCUAGGUGUUUCAGAUCGGACGGCUGGCUUUCGAGGACGGUGUUUUGGGCUGGCCUGGGUUGGAUUCGUUCCACAUUGCCUAACAAAACGUGUAAAUAAAUCCUAAAUAAACGUGUAAAUUCCAUUUAGUUGUGUAAAUUAUUUUUGUUUCUGAUGCCACGUUUUCCACGAAUGUUGUUCCAUGAAUGUUAUUCCAUGAUGAGAGUUUGCAAGUUAUCGAUUUUUUUGGCAAUGUUUUGCACCCAUAAAAAAAAAAUGUUCAUUUUUUUUGUUUUCCUGUUCACCCGAGGUCACAUGUACACAUUCCCUGAGCUUAAUCAAAUAGCAAGGUUUCAUGUUUGGACGAUAAAGAAAGGCAAAUGAUUUUCAAGCUCUGUAUCGACAAUGGGAUUGGUACUAUUGUCGAUAGGUUACAUCCAUAGAACAACAUGCAACCGACGAGUGCCUGAAGAUGAUGUCGGCAGGGAGGCUGGCGGCGACGAGGAGGCCAUAGAGAAAGGCGGCGACAUGUGCGGCCACGAGAGACAUGGUAUGAGGUGUGGUCGUAAGGGCACCAUUGUUGAAGUAUGUUUUUGCCACAUCGCCUCCACUGCUGCACAUAACGAGCACGCUAUUGGCUACGAUCACUGGCGGCCAUGCAGAGGGCAGCUAUAUAUUCAUUGCCUGAACGAAUGCCCGCUUCACCGAACAGUUACAUCGACGGAGGGCCGUCCGUGGACAAGGCGCCAUGAUAGCGCUUCUUGGUUGGGUGGAGGCAUGCAGUGAGCUUCUCCCUGAGGCUGUGCACCUCGGCUGCCUUGCCUAGGAGCCGUCGGUCGUCGACCUCACGGCAUGGUGGCGUGUGCUGCGGGGAAUACUAUAUGACACUUUCUGUGUCAAGGAGUUGACCAAACGAAUAGAGAACACAUCGAGCAAUCUAAAAUGGGCCGACCCAUUUUGUUCAUCAAUUCAAAAAAGUAGGUGUUUUCAAAAAUAUUUGGAAACUUCAAGUUUUGUUCAAAAUAUUUAAAAAGGUGUUUUAAAUUUUUCAAAACAGUUCAUUUUUUUUAAAUUCAAAAAUUCUCUUGCUUUCAAUUUUUUGUCCACAAGGAAUAUAAAAAAUGGUUGCAUAUUUGAAUAAAAUGUUUUCUUAUUUGAAAAAAUAUUUAGAAUUUAAAUAAAUGUUCGCACAACAAAAUUUUGUCCACAAAAUUUAGAAAAAUGUUCCUGUUUCCAAAUUUUUGUUUGGAUUUCUUUCCCAUUUUAUAAAAUUUGUUCACAAAUACAAAACAUGUUCCGGCAUUUUAAACUUAUUAAAGAAAUUAAAUAUAGUUCACAUUUUUCAAAAAUAUUAGUUCAGAAUUAAGAAGAAUCAUUUUGAAUUUCAAGAAAUAUUUUGAAAACAGUCAAAUAAUAUUUCAAUCUGCCUCUAAUUCUUAAACUUCCGAGAGCAGUUGGUCAGGAGUUUGAUUCCUAAGGUGCACCCAUUCACUGCUCGUGGACCGCUGCAACUGUAUGGGCGGGCCUAGACGGAGGCUUCCCACUGUGCGAAGUGAAGCGUUUUCCCAUCAAAUUUAUUAGUAGGUAUAGAUAAUAGUGUUUUUCUUUGCGGAAAUAACAAUGCUAUAUUUUACAAAAAAAGGUAACGGUGUUAUAUUGUGUCCAACAAAAGAAUUGGCAUAACAAUUUGAAAAUAUGAGCAAGCAAGACUCUACAGAUUCAUUUGCCACAGUACGCAACCGGCUUAAAAAACAAAAUAGACACAACAGGCUCUAAAAAAAGUAAGGGACACGACCGGAACUUUCGUUAACUUUCCAAAAAAUGCAUUGGUUAAAAAAAAAAUCAGAGCUCAUCCAAUUCGGACGGUAAACUGAAGACUCUUCAGAAAGUUUUUUUUUUUUGGUGUGUAGAAAAGAGGCACAGUAGUGCCCAAAUAGAAAGCUUGACAAGUUCAGCGAAAACAUACCAUGCAGGCAGCACAAGUUACAGAGAAAAGGAAACAGGGUUCAUCAAGAAGGGUUGAAAAUAUACAGUAGUUCUUUCGAGAAAAGGAUAGAAAAUGAACCAAAUAUCUCAUCAACGAUACAUCUCUGUUACACACGAACAAAACCAGAAAGCUAUAACAAAAAUGGAAAAAAAUAAACUGAAGGAGAGUAGUACACGAGUACAACUACCAAUCCAGGGUUUUUUGCAGAGGAAGAUACUCGGGAUGUGAGCCGCUUGGCUUUGAGAAUCCUGACGCUUACAUGAGCAGACCAGAUGAUCGCAGCAAACCGGACGAACAAACUGGAGGUGACCAAUAGACGUCUUUUAUUCACCAGAGAAACAACGAAAUACAUGGACACAAAUACGACCAAACCGAGAGAUACACAGAUACAAACAGAGACCACCACCAAACUGGGAAUACAUACAACUUGGCUAGACAGAUGAAACAACGUUUUCUUCAGAGGAAAAGUGCCGGGCACAUCAAUCUGACAAACCUUUCCUCCGCGUGCUCCGAGAUGAUCCACACGAGGGUCGUGAGCCCGCCACCUUUGCUGAGCUGCUUGGCAUGUGCCUCCCUGCUGCCCCGGAUGGACGCAUACAUGAGCAGAUGCACCCACGCUUUCAGGAUGAACUUUAACAUGUCGUUGUCAUUCAUGUCCUCACGAAGUUCCUGCAAGGUCCGAAUCCAGUACCCAAGUUUGCGCACACUUUUUUCCAUCGCAUUUCCAAUCAAACGAUGCUUUCCGUCAGACAGGAACAGAGCGAUUUGAGUUGCUUCCCCGAGAGUACCAAGGCCCAAAAGACGAUUCUCCUUUAUUCCUCUGUAGAUAGCAGAAGUUUUGUCCUCGAGAUGAUCCACGUUUUCCAGCAUCCACGUGGCGAGCUCCUUCGCCUUCUGUUCUUUUGUUGUUGUAUAACUACUGCUGGGUUUAUCCUCCUCUUUAAUUUUUCCUAUCACCCUCAGGGUAGCUCGGGCUUUCUCGUACAGGCUGCGAAGCUUGAGGCCAGGCAGCAUGCUGGGUUGUUUGGCGAGGAGGAACAUCAUGUAAUCCGACAUCGCCUUGAUUGCCUUCUCAUCAUUUUGGGGCGCUGCUGGGACAACAUUGUGGUAACACGAGAGGAAAAGGUCCGUGGCGAUGUGCCAGAUGAGGAUUGCCUCUUGGAGCUCAAGAGGGAAAUCUGUGGAGUUGAGGGAAGUGGCCUGCCUUUUGGGGUUGUUGAUGAGUGUGGACUGGCCAUGCAUGGAACCAGCGUGGACAUUCCUCCAAAGACAAGCUUGCUCAUAGGUUUCAGAUUGGGCUUGAUCAUACCUCCAGCGAUCAUCAGUUUGUUGCUCAUAGGGUCCGGACGAGGCCAUUGAGGUUUCCUCGUCAGGGCAGUGCUGCAUGCUUACAAACACAUCGUAUCCGUUUUGAUCAAAUGGUGCAUUUAUCCCACGAGCACAGAUCUGCCUGGGGCAGGGCCGGCAUGGAGGACGCUCAUUGUCCAUACCACUGCAUAUUGGCCUCCUGGGGUAGAAUGGACACAAAGGAGGAUCAUUGUGCAUAUCAUUGCAGAAAGGCUCCCUGGGGUAGAAGGGCCAUGAAGGAGGCAAGUUGCACAUACAAUUGCAGAAAGGCUCCCUGGGGUAGAACGGCCAUGAAGGAGGCAAAUUGCACAUACAAUUGCAGUUCGGCACCCCGGGUGAAUCAGUCCCUGGAGGCGUAUAGGUGCCAUUGCCGUUCUGCCGAUCUGGGGAAUUCUUGCCACCACCACCAUCACCAUUUGAGGGGUCUGGCGUCUGUGGACUCCCAUUUGGGGGAGUGCCCGUUGGUGUCGAGGGAGCAGGGAAUAAGUUUGCACAUAUAACAUUGAAUACCAGCUCCUUGACAUAGUCUGGAAUCCCAUGGUCCCUUGAGUGGUCUUCUGAUUCAGUCACCAGCCUAGAUAUGCUGUAUAGGUUGUGCCUUUCCCCACCACAACACUGUUCCAACAAGUUGUACCGCCCAAAGGUACCCUCCCACCUCCUGUAGCUCUCGUGCUUCUUGGGACAGUCACUUGUCCACAGCCACAAGGAGAGCCUGGAGAUAGACAAGGACACGACCCAGCAACGUAGCUUGUGCCAUCUCUUUCGGCACAAAACUUGAUGAUUCAAACAACUGUGUGCCCCCUUGAAGAAUGAGUACGUCCAGGUUGAAGCUAGUGCUCUGAGCAGCCAUCUCAAAUCGAGGAGGAAGGUCGUGCCCAGCAAUACAUAACUGAUAACUUGAUCUUCUGUAUGCAUGCCCUCUUUGCAUUGGAGGCCAAACAGCACGAGAGCGGUGGCGGUUAGGAGGGGUGAGGCCACACGGAUGGCGUAGCCAGGCCAUGUGUGGACAACAGCUGCCUUGGUAUAGAGGAUGUCAUACAUGAGGGAGAGUUCCAUCUCCACCACCUUGCACAUACUCUUCCAUUGAUCCGAGAACAUGCUUGUGACGGCAGCACGAUCCAUGUGCUCCAUCGAGUAAUCAGAAAAGGCACCCUUGCAUAUAUCGAACAGGCCAUGAGCAACCAACAAGGCUUGCUCAUCUUUCAGAUUCUUGCCUCCACCGUAAUCAUCUAUCAAGCUACAAUCAAUUGGCGGCAGCUUCUUGAAUGACUUCUGGAUGCGGCUCAAAUUGCAUAGCCAUAGAGCCACCGCGCUCUCCACAUACUUGAGAAGGCCUACCACUAACAUGAUGAUGGACGCCUGACGCAACAAUCCAGUAGUGCAACAGUUGGUGAGUAUACACCUGUACACAACAAGUAUGGAUCCCAGGGACUGCAAGGGGACAAAUAUGACCACACGCAGCCAGAGCUCAUUGUCCUCAAUGGUGUAGGCGCUGAUAUUGUCCGGGCGAGCAUUCUGCAGCAAUAGGAACGGCACCCAGAAGGCGACGAUCAUCUUGCCGCACGGUUCUUUUUCAAGGUACAGGUUGCCGAUGACAUAUGCCGGUCCCCAGUCGGUCAGCUGGUACGCCAACCACAAUAAACCUCUCUUCCAACCUUUGCCUUCACGCCGUCGGCUGUCGGAGAAGACGGUAAGGAUAAGAUGCAUGAGUAAGCUGAGUAGCGGCACUAUCCGGAACACAGAGUCACUCAACCACUUCACCCAAUGUUCCACCCAUGCUAGAGUCAUUUCGCCCUGCAGGCGCGUCAAUCAAGAUUAGUUUGUACACAGGCAUUACAUAUGCAAGCAUGCAUCUACGUACUAUGUGUUGCAGCAUGCUAGACAGAGGUUAAUAAGGUACGAAAACCUGGAUAAAGCAGGACAUACCGGCAUGCAGCAGCUAGCUAGGCAGAUUGGUGCUUCAACCUUCCGUUCGAGACUGAAGAUGAGAGCUGCUCCUGAGUCCUGUCUGUAGAGAUGGGACUGGCAUAUAGGCAGUUCUAAGUUGAUCACUGAUAGUGAUAGCUCACUCGCAGAGAGUUCCCUAACCAGGUUCAGUACUUUUUAGUAUUUUGUGCUGGACCAAUAAACUAUAGCUAUUACCCAUCAAGAUUCAUUUGAAGUCCUAAGAAAUAAUACAAGAUUGUUAGGGAAAAUUCGCUUUGCCGGGGGUUGUUAUCAAUCUGAACCAUUUAGCAGAUCCGAUCUGCCAAAUUCGCAUUACUUACUGGGACAGUUGAUCAAAAUUGUUCUUAAUUCCCCAACCUAGUACGCACCAACAGCCACAAACAGAAACUAGCGAGGAAUAAGCCAAGAACUACCAAGGAGACAGUGCACAUCACAUGCUUGCACUUGACAAGACGCAGUUGGGAGGGUAGCAUGUUGGAACGGAGCCCUUGUCCUAGCUCUACCUCUCUCUGUCUCUCUGCGCACUUCUCUCUCUCUGGCUCGUACCGAGGAGGAAGGAGGGAAGAAGAAGGAACAGGACACGGUGGUUUUCCUUGGCGCACGAACGCCCGCCGCAACAACAGCGUUUUUCUUUGAGCUCGAACUCAACCCACACCACACACAAGAGCAGUACAUCAUCACUUAUAGACUCACAGAGCCGCAACGCCUACGAAACCAACUCCAGCGAGCUCUACACGCACGUACGCGUUCUCCUGUCGAGUUGUCCGCCCUCGUGCAUGGAGCCACGAACUCCACCACGAGACUCGCUCUCCACGUCUUGCACUCCCAGCCAGCGCACCCGUCGCGCUACAACGCGAACAACGCGGCCGUUUCCAGUGCGGGCGACGCGGUCACAUCCUCGACUAUCUAGCUAACAGACACACACACUCACGCACGCACACAGCCUAUAAAUUAACCGGACUAUACACGGACUAUGGCCAGACCAUCCGGCAAGUCAUACACUAACCAGAUUAUGCCCAGACACACACACAGGGACACCUGCCACGGGCGGCCAGCUCACGCCCGUACGCAUGCAGGCUGCGCUCACCGUGGCUUAUUGCCAACAUAGCAAGCCAUGUUGCUUUUGUGAUCAAGAAGAAACUAUCAAAUAUCUUUUUCUCAAAUGCCCACUAGCGAAGCUUUUAUGGUAUACGGUAAAUGUGGCUUUUAAUGUCAGUUCUCCUAAUAGCAUUACCACUUUAUUUGGGCCUAAAACAGCGGUCCACAUUCGAGUCGGGGUGUGCGCAUUAAUUUGGGCUAUAUGAAAUUGCCGGAAUGAUGUGAUUUUGAACUGACAAACCAUCACAUUUUUUUGCAGCUCAUCUACAAAGAUAUUGCCUGGAUCCGUACGUCGUCGUCACUCAGCCAUGUGAAAGCCAAGAAGCAUAUGGUCUUUGGAUGCAACCGUUGGGAGAUGGUAGCACGGGAUACUUACAACCACUUUGGAUGGAGAUCUAAUAAAAAAAAUGAAACGAGGCAAUUUUUCUGCCAUUUUCAUUGAUUAAGAGAGGAGUUUUAGAGGUUAAGGCCCAAGGACAAAUUAUAACGAUCACUCUCGCAGCAUCAUGUUACUCAAGAGCAUCGCCCCGCCGUGCUCCCAAGCGACAUCUCCUCUUUAAUCCUAGCAACGAUAACUCCAACUGGGACGACAUUAUUACGAAAGAUUCGCUCAUCCUCUCAUUCCACAACUCCCAAGAGAUAAGAAGCGUCAAGAAAGCAAGUGGUCUUCGCGAUAGGGUCUUCUUGGUAGCAUUGUGACCUCACCACUCUUUAACGGAAGUCGCGUCACUCCAAUCAACAGAUGCACAUCAUGGAGACCCAGCCAAUCUUUGAUCAUGCGCCAAACUCUAUUAGUGUGUCUGCAUUGGAAUAGAAGGUGGGCCGCCGACUCCUGAACCUCUUGCAUAGGGGGACAAAGGUUACGAUUUAGCCACCCACGACGCUGAAGCAUGUUCGCUGUCAAAAUCCUAUUGCUGAUUGCCAACCAAUCGAAUAACUUGCAUUUAGGAGGUGCCCAAAUCUUCCAAAUGGUCGGUAUCAUGGCCGUGUUAGUAUGGCUAAAGAACUGUGCCUUGUAGGUCGACGUCGCCGAGUAGUGUCCAUCAGUGGUGAACUUCCAAGUGAUAGUGUCUGGCAUGUCGAUGUCGAGGUGGAUAUGAGAGACCUUCUCCCAAAGGGCGACAAACUGAGAGAGGUGUUCGACGGUGAGGUUUCGAAGAAUGUCCACCUGGGAAGUCCAGAAGUUGUCGUGCAGAGCCAUUCGAACCGAGCGAUUCUUCUUCUUCGACAAUUCAUAUAUUUUAGGGGCCAUGUCUUUGGGAUGGUACUGAAUUCUCUUCAACCUUUUGACGGAAAAAGGUAACCCAAGCUAUUUCAUUGGAAAGGAGGAACACUAGGCCGGAAGGAUUGGAGGAUGUCCGGAAGAUCAACAUUUUCGCAACGGAUUGGGGCGGCAAGACUUUUGGAACAAUUUAUAAUAAGGUUAGUGAAAUCCCCAAAGUGCUUGAGAGUGUGAGUGAAUAACCGGGUGUCCUCCUUAAUGGUCACAAUAAAAAUCACGGCGUCAUCCGCGUAAAGCAAAGCUUGGAUAGGCAUAACACGCAGUGCCACCAAGGGGAUGAAGAUUUCCUUGAGCCUCGAUGCCCUCCCCGGCGGUCGGCCCGGCGCACACAUGGGAGGGUGAUGCCGUCUUGGCCUCCCCUAUAGGAGGAUCCGGAACCGGGAGGUUCACGGACAGGACUAUGGUAGGGGCGCCCCCAUCGCCAGUCGGCUGGUCCCGUGCCGCCGUACGGGGGAGGCAGCACUGCAGCAGGCAGAUAAAUGAUGUUUGCCUUCUUCUCGAGUGAAUCUCACAGCACCCCAAUUUUAGCAUGUUCAAUUUUUUAUUUUUAAGUUUGCAGUCGUAAAACCACUUUUCUGUGCUACUAAUUAUUACAAGUUCUCGAAUCUCCAUAAAAUGUCAAAGUUGACCGGCAAGGCUCACUUGUCAGGCCUUAGUUACAACAACGCUGUUUAAUUUGUAAUAACUCUGAAUUUUGAAGCAAGAUCCAAUAAAAUUUGGACAGAAAAACUUUAAACUAAUUACUAUAUAUUUUUUAUUUUCAUGAAAACUAUUUUAUGUUGAAAUUUAGGUAGCUAACUUACCAAUGAAAGAUCCUGUCAGAGUCAGAUGCUCAUUUAAAUGAGCUGAAACUCUUCCAGAAUAGUCAUUCAUACCAAUGGGUAUGAUUUUUUUUUUCUAGAAAUCACAGCAAAAACCACCUUGAGGUAAAUGACAGCCUUAUGGUAGGCAUCCAUCCAAGGAAUUUUGGUUGAAAGAAUCCUGUCUCUCUAGAGAGGGUACUGGCAUAUGGGCAGUUGUAAGUUGAUCACUGAUAGUGAUAGCUCGCUCGCAGAGAGUUUCCUAAUUAACCAGGUUCAGUACCUUUUAGUAUUUUGUGCAGGACCAUUAAACUAUAGCUGUUACCCAUCAAGAUUCGUUUGAAGUCCUAAGAAAUGAUACAAGGUUGUUAGGGAAAGUCCCCUUUGCACUGUUGGAAUCCACAGGUACGCCGAGUGCCAGAAACACUCGGCAAAAAGGGCCGGGGGUGGUUGUCGAUCUGUACUAAGUAUGUCAGUGUUUAGCAGAUCCGAUCUAAAAUAUUCGCACUACUUACUGGGACAGCUGAUCAACAUUGUUCUUAUAAUUCCACUACCUAGUGCGCACCCUACCUAAUACACUACACACUAACAGCCACAAACAAAAACUAACGACGGAUGAACCACCAAGAGACAGGGCACAUCGCAUGCUUGCACAUGCACUGGACCUCGUACCGAGCGGGCUUUUAGGCCUGCUCGUGGCCGGUUCGAUUUAGGCCCGCUCGGUCCUGGCCCGAGAAGAAAAGAGUCCGGUCCGGGUCCAGAAAUUCAGACCGAAAAAAAAUCGGUCCGGUCAGGUCUUUAAUCGGGCCGAACGAAAAGACCGAGCCCAAUAACAACAAAACGAGUGGCCUCGUCCAGUCCUCCUCGCUGCACCUGCACGGUCGUUUCCUCCUCCCUCCUCCGCUCCUCGCAGAAGAACGGCGGCUCCUAACCCUAACCCUAAGGCGACGGCGCCGUCGUCCGCUACUCCGCGUCCUCUCUCCUUCACCGACGGCGACGAGUCGACGACGACGUCUCCUGUUAGUCCAAGCUGGAGGAUCGUCCUCACGUCGGGGUCGCAACACGACCACGCCGUCGAUCCCGCCUCCCCUGGUUCCUCGCCGAGCGCCACGAGGAGGAAGAGGUAACCACGCCUCCUUCCCUCACUCCCUCACUCCCUGUCCCUGGUUCGCGCCGACAAGCCUUCUCGGCAUGUGCUGAUGUCCCUCACUCCCUGUCCCUGGUUCCCUCCUUCUCGGCAUGUGCUGAUGUGCCUGGCGAGAAGCCUCUAUGACGGGAGCGCGUGGAUGUCCGAGCGGUUCGCGCCGACACCAGUAGCCUCGGCCUGAACCAGUAGCCUCGGCCUGACGAUGAGGGUUAGUGGUGUACUGGUGUUGUGGUGUACCAGUAGCCUCGGCCUGACGACCACCCCUCUCUUGCUGGAACUGGUGGUGGUGUCGUAGAUUCGUAGUCAUGUACUCAUGUAGAAAUCUCUUUGGGUACAAUCCGGUGCUGGUGGUGUACUCUUUUUGAACUGCUGGUGCUGGUGGUGUAGAAUCUGCUUUAAUCCGGUGCUGGUGGUGUAUUCUUAUGAAAAAAUCUGUUUUUUCGAAAGAAAAUGUUGCUGCUUUAAUUGUUUCAGUAGCCAAAUAUGCCGCUGCUACCUAUAAUUUUAGCUGCCGCUGCAAUUUAUGUGCUAACUAACUGCUAUGAUGUGGUUUUUUUUGUAGGGAAUGGUGAAGGGAAAAGGAGCGGCUGGUAAGGAGAAGGAGAAUGGGAAGGCGAAGACAAAGGCGAAGAGCGUUAAUUACCUAAUUAGGCAAGAUUCGCCGCUGCCUCCGCCGGUUCCGAGGAAGGGCAAGCAUAAGGCGCGGAUUAGGAAGGCAAAAGAAUUUCCCAAUGCCUCAAUGGGAGAGUUUAUUUGUAGCAUAAAGAAACACCCUCCGCCUCCUCCGCGUCUCCCCGAUCGCACUGGUGCCGGUGUGCGUGCCGCGGAAGCCGCUGCCUCUGGCUCGAAGCUGCCUCAUGUUAGUCAUGUAUGAUUCCUUUCCUUGAUGCUUGAUGUAGCCAUAUUUACAUAUAACCAUAUAGAUGUUUUUCCUUAUUUGUGUGAUCAUGUGUGGUAGGUGCUACACGAUGAGGAGAAGGAGGAGGACGCCGAGGACGAGAUGCCGAGGACGCGGACGCCGAGGACGAGGACAAGGAAUAUGACGAGCAGAAUCUGUUUGUGGUCCCGCCAUUGCAAGGAGGUGGUGAUAUGUCGGAUGAUGAUACAUCAGAUGGGUACAAGGAAUCAGCUGAUGAACUAGAAGAUGGUGACACUAUGUCCGAGGAAUCACUUGUGCAUGUCGUCUCUAGUGAGGACUCUGAGGAGGAAGCAAGAGAAAGGAAGAAGAAAAAGAACAAGAGGCCAAGAGCCAAUGCUCCUGUUAGAGCAAUAUCAGAUGUUUGGGCCCAUUUUCACAAGGUCAAGGAGCCAUCGUUGAAGAACCCCGGACAAAUUGUGUUGAAGGCUUGUUGCAAUUAUUGUCCAAAUAAGUAUGCGUAUGAGAAAGGAGGCAGCACCUCAACUAUUGGAAGGCAUCAUUUGAAAUGUUUGAAUUACAAGGCCAAGAUGGCUAGCGCUGCCAUCCAAACAACUCUUGAAUUGCGCAAAACCAAUGGUACAAUACUUGCUGUUUUUAAUAGAAUUCUUGCUGUUUUUAAUAGAGUAAUUGCUGUUUUAUAUAGAAUAGUUGCUGUUUUAAUAGAAUAGUUGCUGUUUUUAAUAGAAUAGUUGCUGUUUUUAAUAGAAUUCUUGCUGUUUUUAAUAGAAUAGUUGCUGUUUUUAAUAGAAUUUUUGCUGUUUUUAAUAGAAUAGUUGCUGUUUUUAAUAGAAUUUUUGCUGUUUUUAAUAGAAUAGUUGCUGUUUUAAUAGAAUUCUUGCUGUUUUUAAUAGAAUAGUUGCUGUUUUUAAUAGAAUACUUGCUAAUUUUCUCCUAGGUACAAGAUGAAUUACAUAGAGUGGGCUUUUGAAGAACUAUAUGGAAAAGAAACUGCAAGGUUCAGAAAUGAAAUGAGUGAUGUGAAGAAACAGUUGGAGGCCUUGUAUGACAAAUGUGUUGCCCAAGAUAAGCGAGCUGGAAAUGGAGCAAGUUCUUCAUCUACAACUACAAGCAUUCCUAGUAUCCCGGUUCAAGCUGGGUACCAGUCCUUCUUAUCAGCCCGUUCAACAAGAGUAUCAAAGAGUGAGUUGAGGAACUACUUAGAGGAUAAAGUUGCCGCUGUCGAUACAUGUCUUGAUAUUCUUGAUUGGUGGAAGAUUAAUACUCUUAGGUACCCAAUUAUGGCCAAGAUAGCCAAGAGGUUCCUUGCUAUGCCGACUACCUCCGUGUCUUCGGAAUCUACCUUCAGCACGUCCGGACGGAUUUUAGGUAUGUCAACUCCUACAAAUGAACUUUAUAUAUAAACUUGUCAACUUCUCAUCCUCGAACUACUUCUCAUACUAGAUGCCUACCGGAGUUCUUUAAAGCCGGUUAUGGUAGAGGCGUUAGUUUGUGCUGCAAGUUAUAUCAAGGGUGCACACGUUGACUUGAAUAUGGUGGUAUGUUUCGAGUAUCUUCCUUGCCAGUUUUGGUCUUGUUGUAUGUGAUAUGAUAAUUAUCUAACUUACACACUUAUAGCCGAGGGAUGAGAAUGAAGAAGAUGAUGUUGAGACCAUCAAGUUACCCGUUGUGGACGAGAUCAAUGAUUAAAUUUGUGUUAUGUUCGAACUUGUCGAGUAAUGAACUAUGAAUUUGUGUUAUAUUCAACUUGUCAAUUGACAUGGACUCUAAAUUGUCAUUGCAAGUUCGUAAAUCGUGAUAUUUGUGCUAUGAAUCUUAUUUGUGCUAUGUUUCCUAUCUAAAUCCGUUGUUUUGAUUUCCAAAAAACAAAUGAAAUGCUGUCCAAAUUUAGUCCUGCUUGCUGUCCAAAUCAAUUGUUUGUACAUGUGAUAUUUAGUUAUUCUUGCUGUCCUAAUUUAGUCCACUGCUUGCUGUCCAAAUGUUGUCGUUUUGACAAAAAAAACUGCAGCUGAAGCUGGUUUAUACAUGUGAUAUUUAGUUAUUCUUGCUGGUUUAUUGCUAUUUAGACCGCAGCUGAAGCUGGUUUAUACAUGAAUUGUUUGUACAUGUGAUAUUUAGUUAUUCUUGCUGGUUUAUUGCUAUUUAAACUGCAGCUGAAGGUGGUUUAGAUAGCAGCAGCUGGAGCUGGUUUAGUGCUAUUUAAAGUACAACUACAGCUGGAGCUGGUUUAGAUACCCACACAUGCUUAAAAAGCUUGACCAGAGUAUUAAAACUGCAGCUAAGUAACAGCGAGCAGCAGCUGGACCUGGUUUGGACUCGGUCCAGUCGGUCCUAAAAGACUGACCGAGCUUUGUUCUGGUUCGGUCCGGUCCCUGGAAAAAAGCCCGCUGGAGAGCUCGGUCCGGUCCGGACCGGACCACCGGCGGCCGGUCCAAACGCCGGACCGGACCGGACCGGACCGUGUCCAGGCUGAACUGGACCUAUCUACGUAGGACGGUAAGUAUAUGUAUAUCUGUCUGGCUAUCUUGCCCUAUAAUGGAUAAGCUACGGGCUACGGUUCUUAUCCAGCUAUAUAUAAGCAAAUCAUUUUUUAAUAUAUAUAUAUUUUUUGCUUAUUCCCUCACAAAUUAAACCCUUGGUUUGAUGAUCUCUGAAAUUCUUUUCAUCAGUGGCAAAUAGGCACGCUAAAAAUGCAGUGGCAAAAAUCCGUGAGAGCACUCACCCAAAUCAGUUCAGUGGCAUAUGCAGUAACUCGGCAAUAUUCCUGCCCCCGGUCAUACCGGCGACCGUGGCACACGAAAGACAAGAUUAAUGGCCAUACCGAUGACUCGCGGUCCUCCUCGUGGCCAACCGCUCCAUGGACCAAGCGUGGAAGAGCGCCGCCGCCUCGAUGCCUUCCUCGGCGAUCGGCUCGGCGCACGCGGGGGAGGGCGAUACAUUCUUGGCCUCCCCUGCAGGAUUCGGAAUCGGGAGGUUCCACGGGGAGUGGCGGCGGACGGGCCGACGGUAGGGGCGCCACCAUCGCUGGUCGCCUGCUCCGGUGCCGCCGUACGGGGGAGGCAGCAGGCGGAGAUGUUUCCCUUUCUUCCCGAGAGUGAAUCUCACAGCACCCUAAUUUCAGCGUGUUAGAUUUCUUAUUUUAUACUCCCUCUGUAUCUAAAUAUUUAUAGCUUUUUUUAACUAUAAAUAUUUAGGAACGGAGGAAGUAAUAUAAGUUUUCGGUUGUAAAAUAACAUUUUUGUGCGGAUGAUUAUUACAAAUCUCAAAUCUCCAUGGAAUGUUAAAAUUGACCAGCAAGGCUCAUUUGUCGUCGUAGUGACUACUCACUUUUAAUCAACCCUAGAACACCAAGGCUCAUUUAAGUGAUCUAUGAGAGGUUUUAAGAUAUUUUCGAGUCAAGUGAUAGAUCCGCUCUCUCCAUCUCUUGACCAAAGGAAUCAUGAUUUGAACAAGUCGUGAGCUUUUUCCGAUCGUUCAUGUUACUCUUGAAGGUUGAAGACUCUCAAGAGAUAGGAGGAGAGAAAUCGUUUGUUGUGAUUAUCACUAGUGGUUAAGAAUUGCCUUCGUAGUGAUAUAUCAAUAUAAGAACCUGGCGAGUCUUUGUGGUGUUGAUAUUCCUUCAUGGUAACAUCUGCCCCUCCAACGGCGACUAACCUCCCUCCAUAAAAGUGAGCAUCGGAAUAGAUCCUUGUCUUUGGAGAUUCAGUCAUCCCUAAUCCUAACUAUUUAUUUGUAGUUAUUUAUCUCUUGUCUUUAGUUAUAUCAUAUUGUGCUUGCUAGCAUAUAUAUUAAUUGUUGUGGUUGAUCUACUGUAGCACUAGAAUUAUCUUAACAAUUGUUAGGAAUUAUCUGAACAAUUGUUAGGCGGACUUCCAUAUUCUGCAUAAUUGAUGGUAGCCUGGUCCGGUGUCGUCGUACAGGAGAGGCAGCAGGGAGACAAAUGAUAUAGAUCGAUCACUAUGCCAUUGCAAUAGGUGUAGAUUGAUCAAUGUAAUCACUUACAAACGUUAAUUACUGUUUUCAUAGUUUUUUAAUAAAGGGUGCUUUUUAUUGACUCUUAGUGUAGCAAUAAUGAAUACGCACUUGGCCUCUGCAUAACUAGGAUGCACACAUCCAAUGCAACACACACGCACAAACGAUCACGCCGGCAAAGAGCAAAGUCAUACAAGACCGAAGCUAUGCCUAGACGGAUGAAAAAAUGAAGCAAUGGAAACAACGAUUGAAGUUAUACAAUAGUGACCAUCGGGGCCAACCAUCUCUUGACAUCAUGGGGACUUCGAGAAUGGUUCUCCAAAAGCGACGCCUCUAGGAAGGGAACCACGUUCAAGCGCCAUCGUCGCAUAAUCCAACCAUCGAGACCAGAUCAUGUGUUUUCACCCUAAAGAUGAAAUCUAAGCAAACCCCGAGCAAUGCCUUCACCAAGAUAAUGAUGCAAAGAACACCACCAUUGCCAGGUAUGAUCAACUAGAGUCAGACCAAUGGUUUUCAUACCAGAGCUCAAGACCGGGUACUUGAGAAGUACCACCCAAUCGAAGUCAUCCAAUAUUGUUUUCAUAUUUGAUCCCUUGUAUUUAUUGGUGUAACAUUUAUAUGUUCAAAUCGAUAUCUAUAUUCCUGCGUGUUAGGCAAAUUGAUAGGGAGGUCAGGAGGAACCUACAUGGGGACGUUCCAGGAGAAGUCACAGGAGGAGCCGCAUCCAACGCCCACAACAUAGGAGGGACAACCGUGACCCUGGUGUUUACUUCUGCCAUGAUGGUCAUGAUGGAUACCGUGAUGGUGAUGGCGGUUAUCGUGGAGGCUAUGGUGGUGGUUACGGUGGCAGCAACGGUGACGGUUACCAUGGUGGUGGAUGGCGGUGUGGACAUGGUGGCAGGCAUGACAUGUAUGAUGAUGGACCAAGGCGUGUGUAUGGUGGCAGCCCGCCAUGAUGUGUAAGGAGCCCUCCAGCUAGGGAGAACAACAAGGAGCACAAGGCGAAGAUCAAGCCGUGGAACCGUGAGCGGGAUGAGAAGAAGUGAUUAUCUCUAUCUAUGUCAGUGUGGUUUUGGGCAAUGCACCAUUACAUUUUUAUUAAUUAUGACUUCUUUAGUUUGUCUCUACGUUGGUUUAAUGUUGGACAUUGGUGUGUGACAAUACUGAGGUGCAAGAUUCAUUUGGAGUUGUGUAAGUUUAUGAUCUGCUAUCUUAUUGUUUGAGAAGUGAGUUUCAUGACUUUAAGUAUUUGGUUGGUCGAUCUUCUCUUUUUUAGGUGUUACCCUUCAUGAAGGCACUAUCUUGGUUGCUCCUUAUGUGUUUCGUGUUGGAAUUUAGGAUACUUGAUGAAUGUUGGUUUGGGUUGUUUCUUAGGGCAUGGGCAUCCGGGGUGCAAUGUACGACCUCGACGCCGCUUCAUCCAUGACAUCUCCCUUCAUCCCGGUGAGGUCCUGCAACCCACUUGCCGAUCCUCUAGGUGCUUAGGUGGGAGGUAUGUUGAUCCAGUUUAUCUUGGAGUCGUGGCCUGCUACAUCUCCAACGUAUCUAUAUUUUUUGAUUGUUUCGUGAUGUUAUAUUAUUAUUGUUGGAUGUUUUAUGAUUAUUUUAUAGCAAUGUUAUAUCAUUUUUUGGGACUAACCUAUUGACAUAGUGCGUAGUGCGUAGUGCCAGUUGUAGUUUUCUGAUGUUUUUUCCCUUCGCGGAAAAUCCAUAUCAGAUGAAGUCCAAAUGCCAUGAAACUUUAUGUAGAUUGUUUUUGGACCAGAAGGAACCUUGGGAGCCAAGAAUGGGUAUCACACGAGGCUCGGGGGCCACUAGAUAUCAGGGCGCACCCGAGGCCCCUGGCGUGGCAUGGUGUGUAAUGGGGGCCUCGGGCACCUCCUCCACCGCCUCUAAGCUCUAUAAAUACCACAAUAUUCAGAAAACCCUAGAGGAGUCGACAAAAAAUCGUUUCAGCCGCCGCAAGUUCCAGAAACCACGAGAUCCAAUCUAGAGCCGGUUUCACAGAAGAACACGAUCACGGAGGGGUUCACCAUCCUCAUUGGUGCUCCUCUGAUGAUGUGUGAGUAAUUCAUAUCAGACCUAUGGAUCCAUAGGCAGUAACUAGAUGGCUUUCUCUCUCGUUUUGUUUCUCGUUACAGUGGUCUUUUGGAGAUCCAUAUGAUGUAACUCUUUCUUUUGCGGUGUGUUUGUUGGGAUCCGAUGAAUUGUGAGUUUAUGAUCAUAUCUAUGAAAACAUAUUCAUGCUUGAAUAUUAUAGCCUAUAUACAUUAUCAUUGUCCUGAAUAUCGUCAUAAUUAUUUGCUUAUCUAUCAAUUGCCCAACAGUAAUUUGUCUACCCAUCGUUUGCUAUUUUCUCGACAGAAGCCACUAGUGAAACCUAUACGGCCCCCGUGUCUACUUCACAUCAUCUAUUUGCAAUUUGCGUUUCUACUUUAUUUGCUCUUUUGGUUUCAGAUCUAUAUUAUCAAAAACCCAGAAAUACCUUGCUGCAUUCUAAUUGCUAUCACUCUUAUUUGCAUCUAUCAAUCUCUCCUUACUUUACCCACGAGGGAUUGACAACCCCUCCACGCGUUGGGUUGCGAGGAUUUGCUAUUUGUGUGUAGGUGUUGCUUACAUAGUCUUGUGGAUCUUCCUACUGGAUUGAUAUCUUGGUUUCUUAACUGAGUGAAAUAUGUGUCAUCGCUGUGCUACAUCACCCUUUAAGCUUGCAUGCNNNNNNNNNNNNNNNNNNNNNNNNNNNNNNNNNNNNNNNNNNNNNNNNNNNNNNNNNNNNNNNNNNNNNNNNNNNNNNNNNNNNNNNNNNNNNNNNNNNNCGCCGCCACCGAGAUCAUCACCGGCGCGCCCUUCAUCAACGUGUAGAAGAAAAUAGCUUUGCUGUCGACCGGAUAACACAACCUGUACUUAGCUAGUAGGACAUGUAAAUGAUCAGAAUUGAUCAUUCUCGUAUUCUUUGUAGUAUUGCUGAUUAAAGACGGUUAUCUUUCUUUUUUUCUCACUCGAAAUAUGUUGACAUGAUUCCGGGAGAAAUCCUUGCUCCGGUCUUCAUCGGAGCUGCGACGCCCGCGGGUGCCGCUAUCUUUCUUGAAAGUGUCGUUGUGGAGGUGUGAUGUUCCCCUUCGUCGGCUGCUGCCCGCAUCGCCACCUAUGCCCACCAGGUCCUGAUCUGUGGGCCUCUCUCCUGCGGAUUCUUGACGGUGCCGACGUGGUUGCCGGGACCCUUCCUGCGGGUGAAGCCGGUGGAGGAGAUUCGGAUUGGGGGAAACCCUUUGGUUGGCCCAGGCCGGCCCCGACGACGACGCUCAAGGACGCCGUUAUUCUUUUUGAAGACGUCGGUAUACAUCUGCUCACCUUCUUUGCCUCUCGGGUGAAAACCCUAACUCCGGUGGGCGGCGGCGACGGCCUUGACGUCGUGACCUUCCUGAAGGCGUCGCCUUGAGGGCUGAGUGGUGGUGGACACUGUGUGGGUCCUGAACGGUUGCUGGUGGUGGGCACAGCUUCGGGGGAAACCCUAGGAUCUGGUCUUUCAGAUCGGACGAGGCGGUACUGCAGUGCCGUUUCUCUCUUGGGAGCAUCGUUUGUGGAGCAGCGCUGGCAGACUGAGGCAGGAGGUGCAGCGGUUCGUCUUGCACGGAAUUUUGGUGGAGCUGUUAAGUCAUGCCUGACCGACAGGUGCUACACUGAGUCAUGCCUGGUUGGCAGGUGCUACGCACGACAGAUCUUUCGGAGUCUUCGCAUCUGGAAGGAUGAGCGCAGGGCGGUGGCGCCGUUGGGCGCCGUGAUGGCGUCGACGGAUGAUUGGACUGGCAAGGAUGAUGCAUAUCUCUUUCCUGAAGAUGGGUCAGUGGUUCGAGGAUGAUGGCGGCUGGUAAAACGUGUGCGUGAGGUGUGCGUUUUAGGUGUGCUGCACCGGCUGUUGUUCCCGAUACGUUAUGUGGAUGGAUUAGAAACAACACUGGUCUUAGAUAUGUGGAGUGAGAUCACUCCACAUUAUCGAGCUUGUAGGUGUGAGUGGUGGCUUUGGAUGGAUUGAUGUGUAUUCUUGUUAUACCUUUGUGGAAUAAUUAAUAAGAUGGAUGCAUAUGCAUCGAUUGAUGCAGAGGCCGGGGGUUUAACCUCCUCCUCUAAAAAAAAAUCUUUCUACCACAUUAAGACAUCUCGAUUCCUUUGAAUCUUUAUCACAACAAACCUGUUAAGACAUGCAGUUUCACAAUUCGGACAUGAAAAUUCUACACUAUAGCAAAGCUGCACAUGGAGGGGAACAAAUAUGGAACCUGGGUGAGGAUGCACCUGUUUCUCAAAAUAGAAAAAAUAAUUUUAAAAAUGAUUAUAAAACCGUGAAAUAUUUGGCAACCAAUUUGAUGAAUUGUUACACUCAUAAAUAAAUUCAGGACGAAGUGACUUUCGUGGUAUUGUUGGCGCAAAAAACAAAGUCACCAUUAUAUUAGAGGUACUGUUUACUAUGUAUUGUCCUGGACAACUUGUAUUUUAGGUUCACAUUUUUUACGGUAGUUUUUCUUUAUCGAUUUUUUUUAUAUGAGUAUGUCAGUCGGAUAAGUUUUCGGCCGAGGAAAAACUUUUUUUCCUGAAUUGUUAAAAAGAAACGCAUGCAGAAGUUACUUUAUGACUAACUUGUGCUUGCACCUAAAUUGAGCAACAUAGAUUAUACAGAAAAAUCAACUACCCUAAGGUGCAUGAUUCAGACUCGAGGUUACACAUAAAGAUGAUAUCGAGUGGAUGAACAAGCAGCUUGGGGACUUCAAAGAAUAGAACCGUGUACGAUGUUUGAUCCAUCGCGCACUAUUUGAGUAAAGGAACUAUGCGCGUUGUGUUAUACAUGUUUUCUUUGGGCUGGAUGUAUGCGGCGAGGGAUGAUAUCGAGCGGAUGAACAAGCAUCUUGGGGACUUCAAAGUGACUUCUAUACUUUAUCUUGCUAAAUUUUUUAAAUAUUAUUUUUUUAAUUCUUUUUGAAAAAUAUUGCUCAAAUUACAAAUCUUUCAAAAAUAUUACAGCCUCGGCCCAGUCGUGAUCGAUUGGAACCAUUCGGCCCACGUGCGGCCGAUAAGGACCCACUCGGCCACGUGACGGCCGACUACUGGCCAGGCCACGUCGUUGCUAUCCUUUUGGCCGGUGGGCAGGCCAAUCGGCUUCGGCCAGGCCGAUAAGGCCCAAUCGGCUGCGGCCAGGCCGAUUAGUGUCCGGCCACCCAACCAGCCGCUCGGCUCGCCCCCGAGCCCCUUCUUCCUCCUUCCUCCUUCUCCCAUUCUUCCUUAUCUCCUUUCUCUCUUUCUCCUCCUUCCUUCUCUCCCCACACAAAAAAUCUCUAAACUCUACACCAAAUCUUACCCGGUUUUUCCCAUAUUUUGCAUCAUAGUUUUAUUGUGUAAGGUUAGGGCAGCCAACCAUCUGUCUCACUCGCGAUGUGAUAGUUCGUGGUGGUUGUGUUCAAGCUUUUUUUGGUGGUGGUGGUGGUGGAGGUGGAGGUUGUAGUGGUGGUGGUGGUGGUGGUGGUGGUGGUGUGGGUGAAGGUGGUUGUUGGGGUGGAGUUGAAGGUGGUGGUGGCAGUUGCUCGUUCGUCAUUAUUCUCUCGUUCGUCGUUUCUGCGCACACUUCAAGGGUAAAAUAUUUUUAGUUUAUGGAAGUAAGUAGUUUAGUGAAGUAAGUAGUUUAGGACAUAUUUAGUUUAAUGAAGUAAGUAGUUUAAAAAUUUGUAGGUGCUCCUGUAGAUUAGGACAUAUUUAGUUUAGUGAAGUAAGUAGUUUAGUGAAUUAAGUAGUUUAAAUAUUUGUAGGUGGUCCGGUAGAUUUGUAUAUAUUUAGUUUAGUGAAUUAAGUAGUUUAAAUAUUUUUAGGUCAUACGGUAGAUUUGUAUAUAUUUAGUUUAGUGAAUUAAGUAGUUUAAAAAAAUAGGUGCUCCGAUAGAUUUGUAUAUAUUUAGUUUAGUGACUUAAGUAGUUUUAAAAAAUUAGGUGCUCCGAUAGAUUUGUAUAUUUUUAGUUUCUCCGGUUAGAUUCGGAUAUAUUUAGGUCUGUCAAUUAAGUAGUUUAAAUAUUUUUAGGUUCUCUGAUAGAUUUGGGAAAUAUAUUUAGGUUUGUCCUUCUUCUAAAUUUUUUCCUUGUGGAAUAAUUUGUUAGGUCAUUAGAGAUGUCUGAUUUAAUGAAGUUAUGUUUGCACUAUGGUCCCGAUACUGUUCAAACAAAUGAGAUGGGAGCUGAUCUUAGUGAAUUUCAGUACAUUGAGGUGCCAGUGUCUUCCCCUGAAACAUGGUCUGUUAGUCAGUUGACAGAAUGGCUGGCCCGAUGUUUAGGUUUCAAUAUUGAAACACACACCGUCGGUGUUCAUGCAUUAUGGACCCGGACCAGUGCAAAUAUUUUCUGGUAUUUGAAGCAUAUAGGGCGGGACGACUAGUGGGUGCACUGGUUAAAAGCUUGCGGGCGUAGGGGAUGUAAUCCUGUGACCUUACUGCUCCCCGUGCUAAAGCCGGUGAGUGAACCUCAAGCCGAGUGCAGCUACGAGUAUGGUCAGAGCAGUGUAGGGAUGCAUGAUUCAGAAUCAAUUCAUGCGUCCCAUGCUGGAGAUGAUGUUUACGAAGUAGACUAGAGUAGUUAGGCAGAAGGGGGAGAUGCAGAUGAUUAUGUCAGCAGCGAGGCAGAUGCUGACGAGAUAGAUGGGCACAUGCAAAACCAGAUGCAUGAAGAAGAUAUAGAAGGUGAUAUUUCCGAUGAUUCCUCCGAGUCAGAUGAAGAAGAGAACGCACAUGAAGUGCAUAUUCCUGCAUCAUGGAAUCAAGACUUCUCAUCUGCAAUGUUGGUGAACGAUGGUCAUGAUUCUGCCUGGCAGUAUCACCAGAACAACAAUGCGAUAGGUGCCCUCUACCCGAACAAACAAGCUCUGAAGGAUGCCAUCCUUGAUUGGGCAAUGUCCACUCAAAGGGUUUUUGUAGCUCAAGUUUCUUGCACGAAAAACUUGACAAUGGUAUGCAGAAACCAGGGUUGUCCCGCAAGGGUGCAUGGCUAUCUCCCUAAGUAUGGCACAAGUUGGGUCAUAAGUGACAUAGUUAGUCAUAAUUGUGUUAUUCCGUGUAUCCCUCAAGAUCAUCCUAACCUUACUUCCACGGUGAUUGCUCGCUUGCUUUACAUCGAGAUAGUGGAGAGCAAGGCGAUGGAAGUGAAGGCUAUCCAGACAAAAGUCUUCGUGAGGUUAAAGUACAACAUAUCAUACGGCAAGGCUUGGAGGGCUAAGCAGAAGGCACUUGAGACCAGAUUCGGUUCGUAUUUCGAUGCAUAUGACUCUGUUGUUCAGCUCCUCCACACACUGCAGAACCGAAAUCCUGGCACCUAUGUUGACAUCCAAGACUUGUACCUGCCAGAGUUCCCAACGGUUAGGGUGUUGCAUCGGUUGUUCUUCUCUUUUGGUGUCUGCAUCGAAGAUUUGAGACAUUGUCAAACUGUGAUAUGUGUAGAUGACACUUUUCUCACUGGCAAGUACAAGGGUCAGAUCCUCACAGCCAUAGGUCAAGAUGGACAAAAUCAAGUCGUCCCACUUGCAUUUUCUUUUGUGGAGAGCGAGAACAUCGAGAGUUGGACAUGGUUCUUCAGGCAGUUGAAAAUAGCAGUUGUGCAUAAUAAGCAGAAUGUGUGCAUCCUUCAUGACAGGCAUGCAGGUAUACUCAGCGCGAUCAAGACAUUGUCAAACCCUGCUCCUGAUGAACAAACUCCUUGGCGGGACAUUCAGAGCCGUUGGUGCAUGCGCCAUCUAGGGGCAAAUUUCUUCUCACAGUUCAGAAAUAAGAACCUCGUGAAUCUAUUCAAGAAACUCUGCAAGCAGAACCAACAAUGGAAGUAUGAGCUGAUACGUAACAGACUAAAUGUUUGCACACAGAAAUAUGUUAGGGACAUGAGAGCUGCAAGAGAUGCUACUGUCAGGGCACAUGUUGAAGCAGUAGCUGCACAACUAGCUAUUGGAUCUGCUACCGUGGAGGAAGAGCAGGUUGGGCUUUGUGACUUGCCAGGAUUUGACCCACCUAGUGCAAGGAGAUCGAAGGCUUGCGAGGACGAUUAAAACUUUUGAUCAGUGGAUAGAGCAUGAGCCGUUGGAGAGGUGGUCUCUGUUGCAUGACAUACAUGGAGCGAGGUACGGUGUCAUGACUACCAAUCUUGCUGAAACAUAUAAUUUCGUCCUCACAGGAAACAGAGCUUUGCCACUUACAGUGAUCGUUGAGGGAAUUUUCUAUGGCACAGUGAAGUAUUUCAAAGAAAGACGUAAAAAUGUUGCGGAGCAUAUCACAAACAAUCUGAACACACGUUACUGUGAAAGGGUUAUGAAGUGCAUGGAUGAAAAGAUGAAGAAAGCCCGGUCACAUAGUGUUGUCGCCAUUGGAAAUCUAGAGCAAAGGUUUGAGGUCCGCUUAGCUAACAACAAAUUCGGAUGUGGAAAUGAGAUGAGAACACAUGAGGUGAAAAUUGGAAAUGAAUUGUGGCCAACGUGCGAGUGCACAUGCAAAAAACCGAAGUUGCUUCACCUACCUUGCUCGCAUGUACUUGCUGCUUGCGGACUGAUAGGCCUUGAUGCAAUAUCGUUUGUGUCUCCAUAUUUUUUGAAAGAGGCGGUCCUCAAUACCUAGACAGGUGAGUUGAGGGGUUUCCGAUCAAUGGGUAACUUCAACACUAUUGAGCCUGCUGAAAGGCGAUACAUUCCAAACCCUGGGAAUAUGCGUACAAGUAGAGGGAGACGGCAGUGUCAGCGCAUCCGGAAUGACAUGGAUGAAUCUGAGGCCGGCGGGCGCACCGUGCAAUGCAUUCUAUGUAAUGAAUUUGGACAUAGGAAUUUUCAAGUGUGGCUGGAUGAUGGAGGAAGGCAGUCCAAUGCCUCCUUUUAUAGACCCAGAUGACAAGGGCGAUGGCGGAAAAACGAGGAGGGAAAUGAGGUGGGAAAAAUUUGGCAGGAAAGGAGGCGGGAAAAAUUUGGCGGGAAAGGAGGCGGGAAAAUUUUGGCAGGAAAGUAGUGGGGAUAAAUUGGUGGGAAACGAGACGGUAAAUGCAAUGGCGCGAAAGUCUAGCGGGAAAUGGUGCGUGGAAAAUAUUACAUGAAAAAGAAUUCAUGCACCUAUUGGCCUAGCUAACACCAAUUAGUCAUUAUUGGCCUAAGCCAAGGCUGAUAAGGGACUUAUUGGCCUAGCCAAGGAUGACAGGAGCUUAUUGGCUUAGCCAAGGCCGAUAGGCUGCUGAAAGCCAGUCCGAGAGGCUUAUCAGCCUAGCCAAGGUCGAGUGGGACUUACUGGUCUUGGCUAGGCUGAAAGGUUCCAAUCGGCCACACCUCGGCCGAGGCUGCAAUAUUUUUGAAAUAUUUGUAAUUUGCGCCAUAUUUUUUAGAAAGAAUAAAAAAGUAAUAUUUUAAAAAAUAGGCUUUAUCUUAGGAUGGCUAAAUGUUAGUUGACUGAAUUUCAAAUUUGAGCCAGCCGAUUUUGAGAAGGAAGAAGGAUGCGCCGGCGGAGGUAAAGGAGACUCUGAGGCUGCUGGCAAGGGGAAAGAACACCCCCACUAUCUAUCUUAGGAUGGAGGGUACAUGUUCACCGGGGAAGCAACCCCACCUUCUAUCUUAGGGUGGCGGUGCAAGCUCGUUCAGGAUUUUAGGGUAGUCGCUAGCCUUAGAGGGAUGGACGAGGGGUCAUACUGACGGUUGAGGGUAGGGUGAGGCUUGCGCGGGAGUGUCACUCGGUGUGGGGGCAGCUGCAGGCGGCGGCUAGUUUGUUCUAAGGAAGAAGCUGGACAUGAGGACAACAGAAGGUUGCACAAAGAUAUCUAGCCCUUCAUUUCACAUUUGAUGGUUGGGAAAAUUGAUUGACCCAAUUUAUUUUCACGCGACUAACAUAUAGCUAGUCCUUUAGAUAAUUAAUUGUUUUCUUCCAUCAUUUUUUACUUCUCUAACCAUACUGCCCAACAAAAAUAUUAAUAUAUAAAUAACCAAUGGCCAAUGAAGUUGUCCACUUCAAGUUCUCGGAGAUCUGAUCAUUCUCCUCACAUUAAUUUGGCAUUGGCAUUAGAAAUCAAAGCAAAACCUGGCAAAUCAUCUAAGGCAAUAUAAAAUGAGGAAAAUGGUUGGGCAGCUCACCCCCCCUUCACACCCACCCACCCACCACCNNNNNNNNNNNNNNNNNNNNNNNNNNNNNNNNNNNNNNNNNNNNNNNNNNNNNNNNNNNNNNNNNNNNNNNNNNNNNNNNNNNNNNNNNNNNNNNNNNNNUCCUCCGUUGCCAGCCCUUCCUGCUCUCCAUCUUCUCUUCCUCAUCCGUCUUCGCCUCGUCGACUUGGCCCUUUCUCCUCCUCCAUCUCCUCUGUUGCAAAAAAAAGUACAACGCAACAUCUGUUACAAAUAUUUCUGCAACAAGAUUUAUGUUACAAAGAGUUCCACAACAAGACUUUUGUUGCAUAAAUAGAAAAGCACGCGUGAAUGCCAUAUAUGGCAGAUCCGGCAGCCUGUGAGGCAACGGAUCUUUUUAAAAGAUCUAUUAAAGGUGUUUUCGCAACACGGUCUUCGUUACAGAAAAUAUUCUAUAGCAAAGUCUGUUACAAAAAAAAUCUACAUGUGUUUCCGCAAUACGAUCUUUGUUGCAGAAAAUAUUCUAAAAAAAUAUGUUAAAAAAAUUUAUACAUGUGUUUCGCAACACUAUCUUUGUUGCGGAAAACAUUAUAUAACAAACUUUGUUGCAAAAAAAUUACACGGGUAUUUCCGCAACACGAUCUUUGUUGCAGAAAAUAUUCUAUAGCCGUUCACAGCUCUGUCAGAGCCGAAACAAAACAAUUGUUUCCGUAACUCGUUUGUUGUUUCAGGACUUAAUGUAUUCAGAAAGGCGGCCGAGCCGCGUGCCAAUAGUUAGUGCGGGCGGUUGCACGCGUAGAGAUCCAACGGUUAUCGUGGUGGUGGAUAUUUACUAAACAUCUACCGAUGGAUGCGUAGCGCUCCCCAUAUGAGAAGGAGGUUCCGCUUGCGCGUAUUUACGCACACACACACGUGUUUCUUUAGAGCAUUUCCAACCGCCGCGCUUCGCGCCGCGCCCAAAAAAUGUAUUUGCUGCGCGCGCUUCGGUUGGUUUAGCGCGGGGAUAGACGCUGGCUCCAACGGCCACCCUAUAAUGCAGCGCGCGCGCGUCGCUCCAGCAGUGCCCAAAAAUACAGCGCGCGCAGCACGCACAAACCACAUAUACAUUUCAAAAAAUAGAAGCAAAAAAUGAUCAAACAAACAAAAUAAAUCAACAAUAAAUAGGUUUACAGCUCGAACAAAUAAUUUAUCGUUCAGUACAACAAAUAAUGCAACAAACACAACCAAUAGUUCAUGAACAAUACAAUGUUGAAUGCAGAAAUCAUGCGCUUUCUCGUCCAUGCCAUGCCCACCACUCUUCAAUCAGAUCCUUCUGAAGUUCAUAGUGCGUUGCGGGACGCCGAAUGGCAUGAUAGGAGGCAACAAAACGGGCUACCCUUUCACCCCUCCGUCGCACUCGCACGGGAUGUCCCAAGAGCUCAUACUGUGAGUAGUCUAAAUCUUGGCCAUGCUCAUUCUCGAUGAUCAUGUUGUGCAUGAUCACACAAGCGUGCAUGAUGUACCAAAGCAUUUUUUGAUCACAAAAUCUAGCCGGUCCUCUCACAAUAGCAAAUUGGGCUUGCAAAAUCCCAAAUGCUCUCUCCACAUCUUUUCUAGCCGCCGCCUGAGCAUUGUGGAAAUCAAGAUUUUUCUUACCUUCCGGCUUUUUCAACGGCUUCACGAAGGUUUGCCACUUUGGAUAGAUGCCAUCCGCUAGAUAAUAGCCAUAGUUGUACGUACGGCCAUUUGCUACAAACUGCACCGGUGGCAACUCACCAUCUGCAAUCUUAUUCAUCAGUGGUGACCGGUUGACAACAUUGAUGUCAUUCAAAGAUCUAGGCAUUCCAAAGAAUGCAUGCCAAAUCCAAGUCUCCUGAUCGGUCACCCCUUCAAGGAUUAUAGUGGAACCCUUUUUUUGGCCGUGGAAUUGCCCAUGCCAUGCCUUUGGACAAUUCUUCCAACUCCAAUGCAUGCAAUCUAUUGAGCCAAGCAUGCCAGGAAAGCCGCAAGCCUUGUUCAUCGCCAAUAGCCUUGCGACGUCUUCAGCAGUGGGAGAUCUCAAAUACUCCUCGCCAAACACUUGCACAAUUUCCAGUGCAAAGCGCUUGACAUACAUGAUGGCUUGGCUCUCACCCAUAGCCAAGUGAUCAUCAACUAGAUCAGCCGGGAUACCGUAUGCCAACAUACGCAAAGCGGCUGUCACCUUCAGAAAGGUGCUAUGCCCGAGCUCUCCGGCGGCAUUCCUCCUUUGCUGGAAAAACCGGUCCUGGCUCGCUAGUUUCUCUGCAAUGCGCUUGAACAAGUCGGUUCUCAUCCUAAANNNNNNNNNNNNNNNNNNNNNNNNNNNNNNNNNNNNNNNNNNNNNNNNNNNNNNNNNNNNNNNNNNNNNNNNNNNNNNNNNNNNNNNNNNNNNNNNNNNNGGCCGGCUACCGUCUGCGGCCGCGCCGCUUGCCUCGGGCUGGCUACGUCGGGCCAGUUGUGGCCUCCGCCACACCGCCUGCCUCGGGCCGACUGCCGGCUUCUCGGCCGCCGCCACCCCGCCUCCAUCGAGCGACGUCCACGACCUCGCGUGCGAUCGGAUUGAUCACCCCCCGCCCGCGAUCCGCCUCAUCUAUGUCGUGCGACCGACCUGGCCCGUUGGUUAGGCACGCCUCUGCAGGCCCCGUGAAGACUUUUCCGAGUGCAGCGCGCCCCUCCAUCGAUCGAGCAUCGAGCUGCCGCUGCGUGCCCCAUCGGGCCGCAGCGCCGCCGCCAAGUGGUUAUCCCCGCGGUUGCCCUAUCUGCGUGCUACCGCUGCGUCGGUCCUUCGGGCUGCAGUGUCGCAGCCCGCGGUCUACUGCCGCCUCUAGGCCGUCCUUUGCAGGUUGUCCCCGUGGUUGCACCGACCCUCGCGCUGCCGCUGCAUCGCCCCAUCGGACCGUAGCGAGCGUGGCACGUGGUCCCCGCCGCCGCCCAAGACCGUCCCCGUGGCUGCACCGACCCGCGCACCGCCGCUGCGUCGCCCCCUUCGGGCCGUAGCAUUGCGGCACAUGGUCUACGCCGCCACCCCGAGGUCUUCCGUCGUCGUCCUGACCCACGUGUUGCCCCUUCGUUGCCCCUUCGGGUCGUAGCGCCGCGACACGUGGUCCACUCCGCCGUCCCCACACGUCGACUUCCUGUGGUAUGCGCCGCGCCGUCUCCUUGGGCGCGGUAACGCCAUUGUCCGCGCCGGUCCUCGUCAUGUUGUCAGGCUCUUCCUCGCCUGCUUCGAGCAUCGCCGUCGCGCUCCUCAUCCGCCGCCGCUCUUCUUUCGCGCUGCUGCAGCUCGCUCACCCGAGUCGCACCGCCCGCCAACCUCCUUCAUCUUCGUCCAGCACCAGCCAAUCGUCAGCGUCACUGUCGUCUUCCCCGACCGCUUCAUCUACUCCGACCACUGCGGGCAACAUCAGCCCCCGCCGAUUUGCGCCGCGACCGUCGUCGAGUCCUUCUCUGCUAGCCUCCUCGGCAUGGCGUACAGGUUGUGUGUAGGUCCCCGUCUCCGCAUGUCCGAUGCUGGCAACACCGACGUGUGCCUUCGUCCCGGGUGUGUUCCAAGGCCUAGCAAACCUGGAGCGACGCAUUGUCAACAUCGACUUCGUCCGUCUACGCAUGCGCGGUGCUGGCAACACCGAUGCGUUCCUUCGUCCAUGAUGUGUCCCCGGGCUUGGCAAACUCGGCGCGACGAAUCUCAACUACGUCUUCUUCCCGGCGCACCACUACUUCGACACCACUGCGCCCAUGACUAACUCGGCGCCUCCUUGCGCCCGCGGCUCUACGGCGACUUCCUCGACACCGGCUACCCCGACUCGACAUCAACCACGGCGUUCUUCGCACGGAUACCUCAACCACGGCUACACCAUCCUACGCUCUCGGCUACCUCGACCAACGCACAAAGGGCUACCGCCUUGCUUGAGCAACCUCGUGAGCUUACCUUCGGAUUCUUCUCCAGUCUCACCGUGUGCGUCGUUACCGUUGUGACUGCGGGGGAUGUUGAGUAACGUUAUUGUUUAGGAAAGCAUAGAUAGAUUAGGAUUUGUCCCUGCCUUGACUUGUACUUCAAGAUGAUCAUGUAUUCCUAUAUAUAUGCCCACGAGGCUCAAGCAAUACAAUCAACUAUUCCACCAAUCUCUAUUCCCCCGUUCAACAGAUAAGAUUGAUGAGGUGGCGCGAAGCGCGGCAAAGGUCGGGACUCUCAACUAUGAGAGUCCUCAUGUCUCUCAUAUUUCUCACUUCAGGCUUUUGUAGGAUUAGGCUUGGGUUGAGCAUCAUGAGGAAAUUCAUUACAUAGUGUUACAUCGACCCUCUUUAAUAGUACGGUGUUCCUAUGACUCAAGAGUGAAGAAAAUGAAACAAAAAAAAUAUUCACGCUUUAAAGUCUUCAGACUGAUUUUCUUCAUAACACACCAAGUUCCUCGUCAUCGGUAUCUUUAUGAGAAAUAUUAAUUUAAUCGCAAUUUCUCCACGAUCCAAAUCUUCAGCAUAAAACCAAUUUCUUCAGUCGAAGAUAUACAUUUUUAUGGUCGAUAUUCAUUGUAUAACUCAAACUACUCAGCGACUUAUAGAGCAUGUGUACACUUUUAAACACAUUAGAUAUCUAACCUAUAAGUCUUCAAACCAUCAAAAUCAGUAAGGACACUAGAUGCACUUACAAUGACGAAGGCGGACGCACCACACCUUCCCAGGACGGGCUCCGACCGAACUGUGGGACGUGGCAGAGCUGCUUCUCCGGGUGGGGUCAGAGCUGCCGGGCGUAGCGGCGCUACCCGCGAGCAGACGCAGGACGAGCGGGAGGGAGAGCGCGCUCCGAAUCGAUCUUGGGCCUUGGAUGGGAGGCGUGAGAUGCGAAGCUGGAGCAGAAUUGCAAGGCAUCAUCGAGGGGCGCGUUGGAUCAUCCAUGGCAUGGUCGUCGGGUGCAGGAGGCAGCCAGAGCUGCUGGUCGUCGGCGCCAUGUGCCGAGGAGCUGCGAACCUCGAGCGGAGCAGCAUGGAGGCAUGGCGGCCGCUGUGGAAAAAAUCCAAAAAGACACAGCCGAUCUGAAGAUAUAAAAAGAAGCGAUGCAGUGUGCCCAGCCUAAUCAAAAGGUCGCGGCUAAUUUGCCAUAUAGGUGAAUCUAUAUGCCACAGAUCUCUACACUACAGAGAUGAGCUCACGAAAGCAUCUAAUUUUCUAUAUUUAUUAGUACAAAGAUGAAUGGCUGAUGAUCUCACGAAAGAGAAAACUAGAGGCUUUCACGGGAGGCAGCUUCGCCACUAGCACAUCCGCGGCACCGGCAGACGAGCAGCAGCACCACGAGUCCGCCUCCCGCGCCUCCGCACAGGCCCAGCCAGCCCCCACGUGUGCUGGCCGACCUCCAGAUAUGACGAUCAACCAAACAACUACACACAGACCCCGUAUCCCCCUUUGCAUCCAGCCAUCCACUGGGUUUGUUCCAACGCACCACACCACAGGAUUGUUAGUCAUGAUGUUUCCUACGCGAUUCUUGCUUCGGCCGGCUACUUGACGAAACUUACGUAACUAGCGACACGAAUAAAACUGAUCGAUGGAUUUGAUGGCUAAAGGUCCGUGUUAAGCCUUUUCUUUGUAUUGCUUUUCGUUUUUUUCUGAUGUUACAAGCAACACCCCUAGGGUGCCUUUUAUACACGUUCACAAGGGACUAUGAAAAUAGACUAGGACUAAGAAUCAUAAUACUACUAGGACUUGGUUUGGCUUUCUUUCCUAAUUCUACAGGGAACAACAUGAUUUGCUCACAUUCAUCCCCUAAUCAUGAUGUCCUUAACUUCCGACCUGGGUCCCAAACACGAUUGCUGCUUCUCAUAACUGUUAUCCUCGGCAUGACAUUUGCCGUCCCUUGCAGCAUUUCAUGGACCAUUUUUACUGUCGUCGGUUCGUCCGUAGCUUGAUGACGACACUCCUUUUUGGUCGUGUCUUCAAUCUUCACCUCUUCUUUGGUGCUUUGUAGACUGUCCUUUGGAUCAUCGAGGGCACAUCUUUUGAACCUGAGCGUGACCAUACUUUGGUCUAACUUUAAAUUCCAAGCUCUUGGCGCUUGCAUCAGCCCAUAAAGUGCCUUCUUAAGCUUGUCAACUUCCGCUUGUUCGUCUUUCUUCUCAUAGCUGAGGGAUUGUUCUACGUACACUUCUUCUGUGAGAUCGUCGUUGAGGAAAGCGGAUUUAACAUCCAUAUGAUGAACCUUCCAAUCCUCUUGUGCUGCCAAAGCUAGGAGCACCCUCACCGUCUCGAUUCGAGUAACCAGUGCAAACACCUCAUCAUAAUCAACUCCUUGACGUUGUACGUAGCCCUUUGCAAUGAGUCUUGUCUUGUACUUCACAAUGGCACCCUCUGUGUCCUUCUUUAACUUGUAAACCCAUUUCAAACCAAUAGCCUUUUGGUUCGAAGGUCGGGUUACCAAAGUCCACGUGUCAUUGCUCUCAAUCGCAUUCAUCUCCUCAUCCAUGGUGUGCGUCCAACUACGGCUUUUGCUCGCCUCUACGAAGUUCGCCGGCUCCUCAACUCCGAACAGACAUAGUCCGGAGUACUCGAGCGUAACUGGCUUUGUGUACUUGUAGACUUUCUUGAGUGUCUUGUAGCGACGAGGCCGUGAGAAAUCCGUUGUGGCCUGUGAAGGAGGCGACACAAAUUGUGUCGGUGUUGAUGCACUUGAGGAAGAUGGCUGAGACCCGGGCAUGUCAUCGACAUCCGUGUCGUCGGCGUAGUCGUCGUGACCGUGACCAUCAUCUUGAUUGUCGUCGUCACCAUGCGCCUUAUUGUCGAUGUUGUCAUGGAGAUCUCUGCCCGUGCCGUGCGCGUCGUUGUCGCUAUCUCCUUGCGACCUAUCUACGUUGUCGUCGGUGUCGGUAUCAUGAUGAUCGCUACCAUUGUGGUCACCUUGGUUGGGCGUCUUGCCAACCAGCUGGACAUCCUCCCAUGCAUCAUCAUCAGUUGGAAAUUCAACCGUGAAUAUGUUAUCGUUUGGAGCAUCGUCGGCUGCAGCGCUCCAAUUCCACGCUUGGUUUUCUUCGAACACGACGUCGCGUGAAAUCCGUAGACGCUUGGUUUGUGGAUCGUAGAAGCGGUAUGCCUUGGUGCCAGAACUCCUCUCGUAUCCGAUGAACACCAUCUUGGUGCUACGAUCGGCAAGCUUUGAGAGAUGUGGCACCGCCGUCUUCACAUGUGCCACGCACCCGAACGUCCGUAGAUGAGACACAUUCGGCUUACGUCCGUGAAUUGCUUCAUACGGAGUCUUGCCGAUCACCGCCUUCACUGGAGCCCGGUUGAGAAGAUAGACCGCUGUCGAGACAGCUUCUCCCCAAAAAAUCCCCGGGAGAUUCUUGCUCUUGAGUAAACUCCUUGCCAUGUCAACGACGGUUCGAUUGCGCCUUUCAACGACCCCGUUCUGCUGUGGCGUGUAAGGUGCCGUGAGGAACCUUUUUAUGACAAUCUUCUCGCAUUAGUCGUUGAACUCAUUCGACGUAAACUCUCCGCCGCGAUCAGUCCGUAGAGCGCGAACCUUCAGCUUGUGUUCCAUCUCCAUUGCAGCCUUCAGCUUCUUGAACGCUUCAAACGCCUCAUCUUUAGAUCGUAGGAGAAUGACCCACAUAUAUCUCGAGUAGUCGUCUACCACAAGGAAGAAAUACUUCUUUCCCGCGUGAGUUGCCGGGGUGAUAGGGCCACAUAGAUCAUCAUGGAGCAGCUCGAGUUCAUCACUUGCACGAUAGGUAGACUGAGCAGGGAACAAAUACCAAUUGUUGGCUUUUGAACGUGCAUAUGCAGCCGUACAGGCGUGCCUAUGCGAUUCUUGCUUCGGCCGGCUACUUGACGGAACUUGCGUAACUAGUGACACGAAUAAAACUGAUCGAUGGAUUUGAUGGCUAAAGGCCCGUGUCGAGCCUUUGCUUUGUAUUGCUUUUCUUUUUUUUCUGGUGUUACAAGCAACACCCCUAGGGUGCCUUUUAUACACGUCCACAAGGGACUAUGGAAAUAAACUAGGACUAGAAAUCCUAAUACUACUAGGACUUGGUUUGGCUUUCUUUCCUAAUCCUACAGGGAACACCAUGAUUAACUCACACAUGCUUCACGCCAACUUUUAUACCUUGCUUCCUUCAGUUUUGCUUUUGAUCUUGCAUCUUGAGCUGCUGCUACUGAUAUUAAGAAAACACCAACGUAUCUUUAAUAUUUUUUGUUUAUCUUGCUUUGCUAUUUUUGUAGUCGAUUUCCAGGAAAGUUUUUUACAUGGUGUAUUCAAUGUGGGAACCGCUGCUCUGAAAAGAUUUGAUGUUGGAUUUGAGUUUCUUUUAAUUCAUCUCCAAAUGAUACAGGAAGCCAGCAAAUACCAUUCCCUGGUUUCAUAAUUUUGAUAUUUCUAAAAGUUAUUAGGAUUUAUGAUCUUUUAAAAAUAAAGAGAUCAAUUUAGGAUGCAUAUGUGGAGAUGCAUAUGUACCACUUUUUUCAACGGUACCGAUAGAGUAAUUUUCUUAACUUAAUCUCAAAUGAUGAAUAUGCUGAGAUUUGUGGUUCGCUUAGUGGUUCCCUGUAGAACUGAAUGAAUAAAAAAUAUAAUCAAAUGGUUUUAAGUUCAAAUAUUAUAAUUAGUUGAAACGAAAUAUUCUUUUUUCUAUGCAUACUUAUUCUUCUUUUUUACCAACAAAAGAAGUUGUGUUACAAGAAACUCCUUGCUCACAUUUAGUGCAAUAAAAAUAUCAUGGAUCGUAUUUUGUAAUGUAAAAAUUCUGUUUUAGUAGGUUUGAAUAUGUUUCAAAGGUUUUGCUUAGCUGAGAUAAUUAAUGAUGAUCCAAUUAAGGAACAUGCAAAAAAACUUUCCCGUUCCAACACACAUACAUUAAUAAUAUAAUUAAGGAACAAUGGAUAUUUCUUAAAUAUAUAUUGCAGAAUAUACCGCAACAACCUGGGUAGUUCUUUUUAUAGCAAAACAACGUGUAUCGUCAAUUUUUUAGGGUGUGUUUGAUUACUCACAGUGCUUUUGGGCUUCUUUGGGCUUCCUCCAAAGUUGGCGUGGUGGAUCCUACAUUGAAUUCAUGCUUUGUCCAUGUACUACACCAACUUGUUAGCCCACAAAGCCCGACGUUGCAUAAGAGCAUUUACAAAUGGAACCCUCAAAUUCGGCCCCUCAAACGUCCACGGACGCGUCCGGACGCAUCUGCGGACACUGACCGAUCACGUCUUACAUAUUUCAUUCUACAUCCGCAUAUGUUAAAUUAAAAAUCUCAAAUUUAUACUAUUACAUGCAACUUAAACCUAAUACUAAGAGGAGCUCAUCUGGCUCCGCUGUGUCCAUGUCCGGCGGCUGGCAGUGCCCUUCAUAGUAUCGAUCCGGUCGCCGACGAGGUAGAGUAGGACAUGGGACACUAGCCGGUUCACGGAAGUCGAGCUCCCGCCGUCUCCAAUGCCCCACUCUUCCUCGUCGGAGCCUAUAACCCGGACGGUGCCACUCGACGUGAGGUCGAUAACGGAUCCUUCUUGGGAGGAGCCGACGUCCAUCACGACGCGAUUGCGUCGAGGGUACGACAUGGGACACUAGCCGGCUCACGGGGAGCCGAAGAGUGUGAUUCCACCUCUCCAACAUCUACCGCCGCGAGGGCCUUCGCCACAUCCCGUGAUCGCUGCCACGCCCGGCAGGCACGCCACGCCAUGACAUGGUCUGAGGUCGGCCAUGCUUCGUGCUCGGCGCGCCAACGUAUGGUUUGCGCUUUCGCCACGGCGUUCGGAUGCCAGACAGACCGCACCGCCUCCUGUGAGGCAGCAACGCCGGAUCCAAGCACCGGUUGUGCGGAAGCAAUGUAUUCCCGACGUUGUAAGUCUGAGCGCUGCCGUUGUGCGGCCGCUCCGGGAGCGGUGGAGCGCAAGCCGGAUGACCAUCUCCUCCUCGGGGCCGCGUGAGACGAGCUCGUGAUCGAUGGAUCUGGAGGUGAAGGACUCAGAUCCGCUGCCAGCCAUGUCGGAUGUGAGCUUGGGUGGCGGAUGGGAGUGGAGUAAAGUGGCCAGGGUUUGGUCCGACGAGCUUGAACGAAUAUAUAUGGGAUAGAUACGGACCAGUACGGGUCAGGCGGGCGUGCCCGAGCUCCUCCAUCCGCCCCAUGUUUAGGGAAAUGUUUAUUUUUUGUUAGUGUACCUUAAAGAGAAAUGGUAAGCACUACAAAAUGUCUGUGACAUUAGAAAAAUGUUCAUGCAUUUCAAAAAAAAUGAUAAGUUUGUUGUCUAUUCUGGAGUCCCCCUUCGCAACUUUUCUGCUGUUUGGCUUUUCAUGGAGCCCUCCGCAGUCCGCACGGUGGCCUCCACGUCCGCCUAGUCGCUGCCUUGCUCCACGUAGAGGCUAAUUCACGGCCGGGAGCAGCUCGCGACGUGGGCAUCGCCGCGGCCACCGCGCGCAGCUCGUCACGGGUUGGCCCUCGCGGAGCACGGCCUAUAAAUUUGUGUCCACUCUNNNNNNNNNNNNNNNNNNNNNNNNNNNNNNNNNNNNNNNNNNNNNNNNNNNNNNNNNNNNNNNNNNNNNNNNNNNNNNNNNNNNNNNNNNNNNNNNNNNNAGUAAUAUGAUAACAACGGUGUCAGAAACGAUCUGUUGACGGCAGACUGUUCCUAACGAUUGUAUCAAUGGCACCUCCGUUGCCACGUUGACGGAAGUUGUCAGUUCCCGUCAACGGUCAGUGAAUCAACAAUGUAGCAGGUAGUAGCAGUGUAACGAGCAAUAGCAGUGGCAAGGAACAGCAGUAGUGACAGCAGUAGCAAGUAGCGCCAGUAGCAAGCGACAGUAGUAGCAUCAGUAGCAGCAGAGCAAGACAAGUAACAACAGUAGCAAGAGUAGUAGCAGCAGAAGUAGUAGCAGCAGCAGAGCAAGACAAGUAACAACACUAGCAACAGUAGUAGCAGCAGUAGGACAAACUCGUAGGCAAUGGGUCAGUGAUUUGUUUGGAUGAUAUUCAUCAUGCAACAACUAUAACACGUAGAGAUAUAUGGCUAGCUCCCGUUCGUUAAUGUGAUGUAGGCAUGCAUUCCUUGUGUCGUCAUACGUGCUUAGGGAAAAGAACUUGCAUGACAUCUAUUGUUCAUCCCUCCUGUGGCAGCGGGGUCCAAAAGGAAACUACGGGAUAUUAAGGUUCUCCUUUUAAUAAAGACCUGGACCAACGCAUUAGCACUUGGUGAACACAUGAACUCCUCAAACUAUGNNNNNNNNNNNNNNNNNNNNNNNNNNNNNNNNNNNNNNNNNNNNNNNNNNNNNNNNNNNNNNNNNNNNNNNNNNNNNNNNNNNNNNNNNNNNNNNNNNNNCUCUUCAAUCUCAUGAAAACCAAGAAUAUCACAUAAAGACUUUGGAAUUGCGGAAACACUAGCACCCAAAUCACACAAAGCAUUGCAUUUGUAGUUUUUGAUUUUGAUUUUGAUAGUAGGUUCCCACUCAUCAUGAAGUUUUCUAGGUAUAGAGACUUCUAAUUUGAGUUUCUCUUCAAGAGAUUUCAUCAUAGCAUCUACGAUAUGUGCGGUAAAGGCUUUGCUUUGGCUAUAAUCAUGUGGAGAGUUUGCAAUGGAUUGCAUCAAAGAAAUGCAUUCAAACAAGGAGCAACUAUCAUAAUUGAAUUCCUUGAAAUCCAAAGUGGGAGUUUCAUUACUACCCAAUAUUUUGAUUUCUUCUACUCCACUCUCCACACCUUCAUGAUCAAGAUAGGUGGACUCCGAAUCAUUGGGCCGUUUUUCAACCAAAGUGGAUUCAUAUCCAGCCCCUUCAUCAAUAGGUUUCACACGCGAAAACAAAGAUUCAAGAGGAGUCGCACCAAGCACUUUAAGAUCUUCGUGAUUUGCAUCACUAGAACACACACUUUUAAACCAUUCAUGCCUAGCACGAAUUUGGGCGGUUCUUUCUUUGCUCUCAUUCGUGGAGACACGCAUAGCUUUUAAAGUUUCAUCCAAGUUGACCUUGGGAGGAGCACAUCUAACUUUCAAAGCAUCAAUAUCACAAGGCAUCCUAUGAAUGCUCUUAGCCAAAUCGUCUAUUUUGAGUAGUUUUUCCUCUAUGGACGCAUUGAAAAUCUUUUGAGAGUUGACGAACUCUUUGAUAUUACUCUCUAAAUCAGAGGGUAAUUUGUUGUGAUUNNNNNNNNNNNNNNNNNNNNNNNNNNNNNNNNNNNNNNNNNNNNNNNNNNNNNNNNNNNNNNNNNNNNNNNNNNNNNNNNNNNNNNNNNNNNNNNNNNNNAAGAAGCCAUCUAGCUACUAACUACGGACCCGUAGGUCUGAAGUGAACCACUCACAUGUCAUUGGAGGGGCGGUGAUCUUGAUGUAGAAGCCCUCCAACUCCAAAGUCCCCUCCGGCAGGGCACUAGGAAGGGUCUCCAGAUGAGAUCUCGCGGAAACGGAAGCUUGCGGCGGCGGAAAAGUAUUUUCGUGGAUCCCUUGAUUUUUUUCUGUAUUUUAGGGAAUAUAUAGGCGAAGGAGCUAGGUCAGGGGGCGCCAGGGAGGCCACAAGCCUGCUGGCCGCCGCCCCCCUGGUGGCGGAUAGGGGCUUGUGGGCCCCAUGUAGCCCUCCUCGCUUGGCCCUCAAGCCACCUGAUCUUCUUCCGUUCUGGAAAAAUUUAUUUCGGGGAUUUUAUUAUGUUUGGACUCCGUUCCAAAAUCAGAUCUGAAAAGAGGCAAAAACACAGAAAAAACAGGAUCUGGCACUUGGCACUAAAUUAAUAAGUUAGUCCCAAAAAAGAUAUAAAAGGUACAUAAAACAUCCAAAGAUGACAAGAUAACAACAUGAAACCAUCAAAAAUUAUAGAUACGUUUGAGAUGUAUCAGCUAGCCACAUAUCUCUCCGUGUUAUAACUGUUGCAUGAUGAAUAUCAUCCAUACAAAUCACCGACCCAUUGUCUACGAGUUUGUCCCACUGCUACUAUUACUUGUUUUGAUCUGCUGCUGUUACUACUGUUGCUGCUGCUGUUACUUGGUUUGCUCUGCUGCUGUUGCUACUUGCUACUGUUGUCACUACUGCUGUUCCCUGCCACUACUGCUACUCGUUACACUGCUGCUACCUGCUACAAUACUUUUUCGCUCGACGUUGACGGGAAAAUACUAUUUCCAUCUACGGGCAACUUCUGGCACCAUUGAUACAACCAUUAGGAAUAGUCUGCCAUCAACAUAUCGUUUCUAGCACCUUCGUUAUCAUACUACUUUGCUGCUGACACUCUGCUUGUAGAUACUAAUCUUUCAGGUGUGGUUGAAUUUGACGCAUUCAGCUGCUAAUACUUGAGAAUAUACUUUCACUUCCCGUCGCGCGAACCAAAAAAUUUGGGUUGAAUACUCUACCCUCCAAAACUGCCUCGAUCCCACGCGCUGGUGGACUAUUGCAAGACAAUUUCUAAUUGUUGAGCAAUCGAGAACAACAUUUUUCUAGCCAUUGUGAGGGAUCUGCUAACAAUGAUCAACUAGCAGAUAUCUUCACUAAGCCCUUGGAUGAGAAAAGGUUUUGCAAGUUGAGGUGUGAGCUAAAUAUCUUAGAGUCUACAAAUGUUUUGUGAAAACAUGCAGACAUCCCAACACUUAUGCAAAAUUGAUGACUUAGAUGUGCAACACACAAAGAAUCGAUUUUCUUCAACCAAUGAAGAAUAUCACUCUUAGUGUGAGGAAAUUAAUGAAGAAUUUGGUUCUCAGGGCCCUACGACAAUUCUACGCUGCGUGUGAAAUCAUCAUUCUUAUACGGUGGAUCACGCCACCACUCAACUUUGAAAAGCUUCAAGCUAUUUUUCUUCAAAGUUGAAAUUCGUCAACCUGACGCUUUGUCACAAAAUCCUCAAGUUUUUCAAAAUCUUCAAAACACUUGAUGAUUUUCAUUUUCCUAGAUAUAUAAAAAGACUGAGAUUUCAAACUCCUCAACAACAUUCACUUAUAGUUAUACCUUGAAUUUGAUAUUUCAUCUAAGUGAAUGUGAUCGAACCCUACUUCCUCUAUGCUAUACUCAACCCAGUCUAUUCAAUUCUUCAUAUGCGUUCUACUUGAAACUUUGUUCAAAAUCCUCACAAUGUCCUUGUCAGCUGAGGAUUUUGCAACGAAAUCCUCAAAUCUUCAAAAAUGAAUUUUAUGACGUUACACAGUAACUGAACCCACUUCCCACGCUAGGAUAAGCACGAUCUCCACUUCUUCUAUCGUGGGCUACACGUGUCGUGCGGAGAUGAAUAGGCAAGGUCAGUUUGGUCCUAAAGAUUCACUCGGACAGUUUUCCACCUGAGCUAUAAAUAGGUCCUUACCCCCUCAGUUAAAACCCUUCGACCUCUCUUCAUCUCUCCGCUCGAGCUCAAACCUAGCGCCACCGCUAGCAAUCUCGUCGCCGGUGAGGAACAACUUCACUGCCUUGACCUCGUCGUUGCCGAACUCACGCCGGAAGCGGAAUAUCUUCCUCCGCCGCCGCCGUAGCUGUCUUUUGCCGCCAAGUUAGGGCCCAGCAGACCUGAACCGAAGAUCUUCUCACUGUUACUGCUUCUGUUCUUCAUGUUCGUCACUCAGGGUAAUUAAAAUCUUAUUUUACUACCCCUGUUGAUAUACUAUUUCAACUUUGAUUCGAAAAAUCUAUUUUUCCUCAGUGUCUGUCAGCCUGGCACACUCAAUUCCUCAAACACUUGAUGAAUUUCACUAAGAAACUAAAAUUCUUCAUGAGAUUCCUCAAUUGUGUAAAUUCUCGAAUCUGCACAACUCUGGAACCCAAAAUCAGAAUGCUUAGUCAAAUUCCUCAACCCAGUGGUCAAAUUCCUCAACUUCUAAAAUUUCAAUUUCUUCAAAUCUGAUAAUGCAUAUGAACUCUCCAAAUUCCUCGCACCCAUGCUAUGUUCACACCUACAAAAUGUCAGCUGAUGAAUCACUAGGUUCUCAUCAACUUAACUCAUUUGCAGCGUUCCUCGAAGAAACUUUACCAGGGUCAUCAGAAUUUUCAAGAGUGCAAAUUCCUGAGCAAAAGCAUCACUUGAAGAAAAUGGUUGAUGACAGAAAGAAAAAAGGAGGAAAGAAACUUGAACAGAACACUACAUUUGAUAUUCCUGAUGACAUAUACGCUGAUUAAUGCACGCCAGAUGAGGAAAUACAUGGCAAAGAACCCAUCUCGAAGCUUAAAAUAAGGCUUCAGAAAAUAGAACGCAGGUGGACUAAGGAGUGGAAGGAAUAUCGCUAUGUCACUCCAAAGUAUGCGAAGAAAUUCACCCUCAAGCCACCUUGCAAGAGGCAUCCUCUUGGUAAUCAACAGGUUGCACAUCCCUCAAGCGUUAAAACAGUUGAGGAUUACCCCGAGGAGAAAGAAAAACACUUGUCUAAACUACAAAGGAAAGCAGAAGCUAUAGUAAAGAAAUUCAAUGAGGAAUCCGAUGUUGCCACUGCAGCUACCCUUCUGCUGCUGAAGCUUCUGGUACAACUAUUCCUCAAAUGAAGACUGUGCCAAAGAAACCAAAGGCCUCAAUGCCUAAAGAGCAAUUGCCUCAGAAGGCUGCACCAGCGCCAAAACCUUCAACAGCAACACAGGCCUCAAAGCCUGAACAAAAGCAGAUAGUCAAGUAUCAGCCUACUCAUUCUAGCUCCUGUUUGCCAUCUGCCACGAGCUGUGCGACAAAGUCUUCACCAACUCUUUUGAAGACUAAAGUGACAGCUAGAAGGGGCAUCAGGCCCUGCCCAAGCAAAGUCAUCAACAUCCCUUCUGCGUCAGAAGGGGGUGAGGAAUUCGAUGAUGAAACUCUUUAAGCAAUCAUCAGAAACAAGUAGGAACGAGCUGCACAAGCCUCAGGCAGCUCUAUUCCUCUUCCCAUGGAUCCCAAGGUUCUGCUGGACUUCAUCAAUGUCUGGUAUGAAAACCCAAACACCCCCAUUGAUGAUUUGAAGCUUCCCCCUGGUCUCAGCCACAUGGUUGCCACAUUCAUCAAUGAGGCAAAAUGGAAAGAGCAGCAAGCCAAGCAAGCAAAAGGCUACGAAACUGAAGAAGGAGAAAUUCCUCACGCAGAAUCUCCUCAAUCUGACGCCUAAAGCUCUUGUGUCGACUGAUACGCCUCCAUCGUAUCUACUUUUCCAAACUCUUUUGCCCUUGUUUUGGACUCUAAUUUGCAUGAUUUGAUUGGAACUAACCUGGACUUACGCUGUUUUCAGCAGAAUUGCCUUGGUGUUAUUUUCGUGUAGAAAUCAAAGUUCUCCAAACGUCCUGAAAAUUUACGGGGAGCAGUUUUGGAAAAUAUCAAAAAUAUCUGCGCCAAGCUCCACCUCAGGGGGUGGGCCAGUGGGCCACAAGCCCCUGCUCCGCCACCACCCCCUGGUGGCGGUGGGCAGGCUUGUGGGGGCCCACACGGCUAUGCCGCCCCCAACUGCAGCUCUAUAUGAUCCCUUUCGUCCCAGAAAAAAUAAAAAGAGAAGGUUUCCUCGCGUUUUCGAUACGGAGGCGCCGCCACCACCUGUUCUUCAUCUGGAGGGCAGAUCUGGAGUCCGUCUUGGGCUCCGGAGAGGGGAAAUCGUCGCCAUCGUCAUCAUCAACCUUCUUCNNNNNNNNNNNNNNNNNNNNNNNNNNNNNNNNNNNNNNNNNNNNNNNNNNNNNNNNNNNNNNNNNNNNNNNNNNNNNNNNNNNNNNNNNNNNNNNNNNNNCCCCGGCGACCGUUCCGGCGCUUCCCCGGCCUAUCUCCGCUGCCGCCGCCGCCUGCGCCCCCCGGCGACCGUUCAGGCGCUUCCCCGGCCUCCCGCGCCGCCGCGCUUCCGCCCCACCCCCUCCUAGUCCCUCCGGCCCUCGCGCGCCUCCGUCUUCUGAGGAACAGCGCCCGAGCGCUCGCUGCCGCGCCGCGCCCGCAAGGUGUUCGACAAAACGCCUACAAGGUAUGUAUUGCUCAAACUUAUGAAUUUGAUGCAUGUUGUGAAUUGUAGUUUUUAUAGUAUAGUAUUGAACAUUGUAGAUGAAUUCAUCGUAUGAUUCUUUCGAAGAAGAAUUUGAUAUGGAAGAGGAGGAGGAUCUUGCAAUGAUCAUAGCUAUGCAUAUAAAAAAAAUCGAAGCACGGUGGUUCGGUUAUGGGUCGGGAGAAAAUUUGGAGAGAUAGGAUUGAUGCCCAUAACAGAUUGAUGAAGAACUAUUUCGUGGAGAAUCCCACAUACCCGGAGUCCUAUUUUCGUCGCCGGUUUAGGAUGAGAACCGACUUGUUCAAGCGCAUUGCAGAGAAACUAGCGGCUCACGUAUGGUCACGGCUGGGCCUCCAGGUCCCUCUCGCCAACGACCUAAUUUGAGAUACUCACACAUUGAUCGGCCUUGGCAUGAACAUUUGGCCUACCGUCGUCUUCUUCAUUCUUUGGAAGCUAUGAGACUCGAGGAAUGCUCGCGUUUUUCAUAACGAGAUUCAGGAUGUAAAUGGACAGAUCGUUGGACUUUAUGGGACUUGCCGGUACCAGCCAUGAGUGCUUAUACGGGCUUAUGUCAAAGACCACUUAAUAUUUAUGUGGCUAAUGUGGCGUAACAUAUGUCCACUUAAUAUGCCGAGUAGCGGGCGUGACACACAUAGAAAACGCCGCUCGUGAGCCCUCUGAAUCGAGCCCGCCGCACGCCACUCCGGCACCGGCGUCCACCUCCUCCCGUCGCUUGCCACUCCGGCAGCGCCGGCCACCCCCUCCCGUCGCCCGCCCUUCUGCGGCUGACGUCCCCCUCCUUCCCUCCUCCCCUUCCGCUCCGCUAGGUGUUUUCCAUGGCGUCGGUGUCCCCCUCCUCCCCCCUCUCGUCGCCCGCCCUCUGGCACGGCUCCCGCAACUGCACGCGACACCGCUACACCUCGCCGCUGGAGGUGAUGUGCCGCAUCGUCGUUGACCAGGUGGCCCGUCGGGGCGCCGGUGGCGUGGCGGGUUUGCGGGGUGGUCCUCGGAACACCGGGGCGACCGCCGUCAGCCCUAAUAGAGCGGCCCCGUCGCCGCACUGGGGUCGGUCUUCCCCGCCUCCCCUCGCCCAAGCCUUCAUCCCACGCCGCGGCUACACUUGGAUCUCGUGGUCGGAGAUGCAGCUGACCAACAACUUGCACGGCAGGGACCUAGGCAACAUGCUCAUGCUCGCCGUGGAUAACCCUGCCGCCGCCGCGAGGACGAUCUUCAACUGUGUGACCGACCUCGACAUGACCCUCGACGGCAUGGCCAAGAUGUGAGCGGUGGCCGCGAGCUCCACCGUCGAGAUCGUCCACCACGACCUGACCGCCAUCGGCGUCGACACCAGGGAGGUGUCGGGAUUGACGAGAACCACCAACCUGCCAGGGGACCUCAAGGAGCGGUUCGCCGAGUACGCGAGAAGGGCCCGGGAAGUUGGAUCUAACCAUUGGCACUUAACUCUGCUCUGUGGCCUUGCACGAAGUCGAUUCAGCCUGGUAGACUGGCUUUGCUCCCGGCUGCCAUUCUCUUAUGCGGGCUUUGGUGGAUUACCCAGGUAUUGCACUUAAUUUAAAUGGG
rnacentral:lncRNA from 1 species